UCACGGUUCUUGGCAAAGGUCUCUGGGUCAGCUGAGAGCCCAGCAGUGUCCCAACCGUAAUCACCAGGGAAUUCUCCAGUGAGGUAAGAGGGGGCCUCGCCAGAGAAGGGGCCCAAGUAUUUGACACGGUCCGGGCCAUACCACGGGCUGCCAGAUGAUACAUUUUUGGACUUGGAUGCGGUUUUGCGCAUGGUAAUUCGGCCCUCACCAACAAUGUUAGAAACAGAGGAACCGAGCUUGACAGCUUGGCCAGCAAGAGAAGGGGAGGAGAGAGCCAUUGUUGAAGAAGCCAUUUGAGAAAAAUGGAAGUGUAUUGACUACUGAGUAUUUCAGUCUCUCUAGACAAUGUGGGAAGGCCGGGUGCCUGUUGUUGUUGUUUUGGUAGAGACGUUGGUGGGUGUAUGUAUAGGUUUGAGGGUGCAUGAGGUCCUUAUCUUUGUGAUAUCUUCAUCUCUUUUCUGAUUGGUGAAAAUGAUGUUCAAGGAUUUUCAAGACGGAUCUCUUCGUUUGAGCUUUGAUGCUUUUCCCGUUGGCUUGAUAUGCUCCACUACUUUACUUCCGAACAACAAAACGAAAAAGGAAAAAUUAAAAAUCUGUUUUGGAUAUUAUUACAUGCUUCGAAUGAGCUCUAAGCCAAUUGAAUUUAGUCACUACUGUUUGUGGUGGUGAGAAACGUCUUCAUUUCCAGGUGGCUUGAUGUGUUCCACUAGUUAGGUCUCAAGACAUGCAAGGAAGAAGAAAAUAUAUCCGUUGAUCUCUGUAGCCAAUAGAAAAUGGCCACAUACUCUUUUCAUGAGAGAGAAUCUAAGGAUGAUAACUUGUAACACAACAGACAAUUGGUAGCGUUGUUAUCCACCAUAGUUCUUCACAUGAAUCCAGAAAUGACAAGACACCAUAGUUCUUCCGUUUUCACUUUCAGAUGGACAAAUUCUCACCCUCCCUCACAUGUAUAUAUUUUUGGUAAUAAAUUAUUGGAGGGGGGAGUUUACACAAAUAUUUAUUUGAUAUUUGGGAAUUUCGAACUUCUGCUCACAUAAGUGGAGGUGGAAGAGCUAUCAACUAAGUUAUACCCUACUAAUAUUCACAUAUAUUUAAUCCAACCUAAAAUGUCCACUAACUAACUAUUUUUUUUAAUGAGAGAAAGGAAACCAACAAAGACACGACCCUUUAGGGCACGCAAGCCCAAAUAGGUCCAAAUAAAAAGAAGAACCAAUAGAAAGAGGGAGACCACUCUGCCACAGCUUCGAAGGCGAAAGCAAAUGACCAAGGGAAGCAAGAGCAUCUGCAACCCCAUUGACUUCACGAAAGACAUGAGAGAAGGAGAUUUGAUCACAUAAUAUUGUGAGAUGUAGAAUAUCUUGGACAAGCUGAUUAAUGCACGAGGAAGUCGAGCAUCGCUUCAAAACUGAGUCAAUGACAAGCUUAGAAUCUCCAUGAAAUAAGAGUUUGGACCAACUCUUGGAAACAACAUAAGCCAAGCCAUCUCUAAGCUCCAAACAUUCCACCACAAUAAUAGAAUUGCGACCAAUCUUCUUAGCACCAACUAGCACAGUAUGAGCAUUAUCAUCUCUAAUAACAAAGCCGAUCGUAGCAUAACUAUUUAUUUAGAUAAAGAGUUUGUAAGUCAAGUAGUUAAUAAUAUUAUUAUUCAUCUAUUCAGUGGCGGAGUCAGGAUUUUACAUUAAAGGAGGCCCUUUAAAAAAAUUUAUAAAAUAAUUCAAAUAGGAGCACUAACUGGUUAGUAAGUUAAUACGAUACUAAUUACUCGGUUUAGCUCACUGCAUAAUAUCAUUUCAUAUUGAUUAAUAAUUUAUUCGUUCAUUACAAUCAUAAUUGUCCUUAAUUUCAUAUUAUAAAAUAAUUGAAUAUUAAUCUCAUAAUCUACACUAUUAAAGAUUCAUACUCAUACGUUAAUAAUUUAUAUUCCAACAGAGAGAAUAAAUACAAAAAAGUUCAUAAAUCCAAUAUUAAAGUACCCUACUACUCAGACAUGUAAAAAGGAAGGGAAAAAAAUCACAAAGCGUAAGCUUAAGUUAAACAAAAGAGGAAGAGAAAGAGAAGGGAAAAAAUUAGGAGUUUUUAGUGCAAAUAUCAUAACAUAAUCUAGUAGAUUUAAUUGAAAGUAAAAGAGUGAUUAAGAAGUUUAAUGGUUAAUUUAUACUACAAUUAUCGAUUAGUCGAAAUGGUCAUUGGUAACAUAAAUAUAUACUUUGUUGAUCAUAAUAUGUCACAUAGCAUUUUAAUCCUUACUAAUUGUAGUAUAAAUACUAUUAAAUCUCACAGAUUGGGACUCUUACCAAACAGUUAGAAGUAAGAUGAAUAUCAGUGAAUUUAGAGCCAGGUGAACUUGUCAACAAAACAACAAGUAGAUUAAAUGAGAGGUAAUCUACAGCAAGGCGAUAACUUAUCCUUUCAGAUCUUGAUGACCACUAGAAUUACAGUCUAAUCCAAUUUCAUCAACAUAAUUAAGCACAAUUGCCAAAACCAUUAGGAAAAGCACACUUCUCUCUCAAUCUCAGGCUCACUUGCCGGGAACAAAGUUUGUGGCGUAUGCCCAGGCAUUGUUGUUAACAGGGUCAGCCAAGUGGUCAGCUAAGUUCUCAAUUGGUCCCUUCCCUGUAACAAUGGCCUGCACAAAGAACCCAAACAUAGAAAACAUGGCCAGUCUUCCAUUCUUCAGCUCCUUCACCUUCAGCUCAGCAAAAGCUUCUGGAUCUUCUGCAAGGCCUAAUGGGUCAAAGCUCCCACCUGGGUACAAUGGGUCUGUCACCUCACCAAGGGGCCCACCAGCAAUUCUGUAACCUUCAACUGCACCCAUCAAGAUAACUUGUGUGGCCCAUAUUGCCAAAAUGCUUUGGGCAUGGACUAAGCUUGGGUUUCCCAAGUAGUCUAGACCACCCUCACUGAAGAUUUGGGCCCCAGCCUUGAACCAAACAGCUUCGCCGAACUUGACUCCGUUACGGGACAAGAGUUCGGGGAAAACACAGCCCAAAGCGCCGAGCAUGGCCCAUCUUGAGUGGAUGACCUCAAGCUCACGGUUCUUGGCAAAGGUCUCAGGGUCAGCCGAGAGCCCAGCAGUGUCCCAACCGUAAUCGCCGGGGAAUUCUCCAGUGAGGUAAGAAGGGGCCUCGCCAGAGAACGGGCCCAAGUAUUUGACACGGUCAGGGCCGUACCACGGGCUGCCGGAUGAAACAUUUUUGGACCUGGAUGCGGUUUUGCGCAUGGUAACUCGGCCCUCACCAACAAUGUUAGAAACAGAGGAACCGAGCUUGACAGCUUGGCCAGCAAGAGAAGGGGAGGAGAGAGCCAUUGUUGAAGAAGCCAUUUGAGGAAAAAUGAAAGUGUAUUAUUUGUGAAAAUCUUCAGUCUCUCAGACAAUGUGAGAGGGCCGAGUGCUUGUUUUCUUUGGGAAGAAGAGACGUUGGUGGGUAUUUGUAUAGGUUUGGUUCAAAGGGUCCUUAUCUUUCUGAUAUCUUCAUCUCUUUUCUCAUUGGAGAAGACCAAGUUUGAAAAUCUCUACCCUUCCAGUUGGCUUGAUAUGCUCCACUAGUUUAUUACUUCCCAAAACAGAAAGAAAAAUUAAUAUCAAAUUUGGAAAUUAUAUGCUUUGAUUUCUAGCCACUACUAGAAUUUUGUCCACGCACACUUUCUUUAUUUCCAGUUGGCUUGAUAUGCUUCACUAGUUUUUCUCCAGGGACAAAAAAAAAAAAAAAAAAGAGAUCAGAAAAAUCAAGUUUGGAUAUUUUAUAUUACUUCUAUCUUUGGCCAAUGGAAUUUGCCCACGUACUCUUUCGGAUGAGGGUGAUGAGAGAGGAAAAAUCUGAGUAUUCAAAUGAAUAAUUUAGAGCAACUCUAUUUUAACAUGAUUAUGUCUAAUUGAAAUUGUAGAGAAAAUUACUUCUUUUAUUAUGUGUUCUAAUCUAAGAGUGUGUCAGUUUAGAUGCAAUAUGGAUGCGGUUUUGGACAAAUGUGGCGGUUUGAUCUUAAUUUAGAUGUAGCUCUGGAACAUAGCUAAUGCCAUAGAACUUACAUUCAGAGAUUAGCACUACAUAUCCAGCAGCUUGUGCUGAGCCAUAAACUUAUAAGAGACUUCAGCUGCUGCUCUUACCAUAGAGGAGAGUGCUACAAAAUGUUGAGGGCAUUUCAUAUUGAAGAGGACGGAAGUCUAGCUUAAGAGUUUAGAAGAUCUUGGGCGUCUUCAUUCAUUGCUAAUUGAUUUUUAGUUGAUUGGAAGUUUAAAUUCUAAUAUAAUAUCAUGAUAGGCUAUUCAUGUGCCAAGCCAAACAAUCCCACAUGUUCCCCAAUAAGAAUUGUUCACUGAUUAAGCACAAAAGAAGCGACACGCGGGGGCGUGUUGAGAGUAUCUCACAUGAAAAGAUUGAAGUUUAUUUUAAGAUUUUAAAAGAUCUCUUAACUAAUUCCAUAGCAAUCUUGUUUUUAUUUAUUUAAUUGAGUUUAACUUGUAUUAAACUCCAUCACACACUGAUAUUGCAUUUUCAUGACAAGAUGGAUUGGCUGUGAAGGUGGUGCAACUUUUUAUUUAUUUAUGGCGUUUUACUUUCUAUAUUUAUUCAUCACCAUUUUUUUGGUAUGAGUUGGUGAAAACAAAUGCCAAUUACGAGUCUUUCCUCAUUUCUUGCAAGUCACAAUGUUGAUUCAUCGAGUUGUCAGAACUAAGAACAUUGAGUUUUUGAAGUAAGGUGAAAAAUUCCCAUACAAAUGUAUACUCAAAGAACAUUUAUCAGAUUUGUUCUUAUAUUCCUCUGCAUUGACCACCAAAUUUCAUCAGAAAAAAAAAAAAAACAAGAACACUUCAAAGAAAUCCCAUUCAAAACAGUGGCCCUCGCAAUUUGUAAAAACGCUUCUCUCUCAAGUUCUCCAUGCACCUCACUUCCCAGGAACAAAGUUUGUGGCGUAUGACCAAGCAUUGUUGUUUAACAGGAUCAGCCAAGUGGUCAGCUAAGUUCUCUAUUGGUCCCUUUCCAGUAACAAUGGCCUGCACAAAGAACCCAAACAUGGAAAACAUGGCGAGUCUUCCAUUCUUCAGCUCAGCGAGAGCCUCUGGAUCCUCUGCAAGGCCUAAUGGGUCAAAGCUCCCACCUGGAUAUAAUGGGUCAGUGAUCUCUCCGAGAGGCCCACCUGCAACUCUGUAACCUUCCACUGAUAACUUGUGUGGCUCAAAUUGCCAAAAUGCUUUGGGCAUUGACUAAGCUUGGGUUUCCCAAGUAGUCUAGCCCACCGUCACUGAAGAUUUGGGCCCCAGCCUUGAACCAAACAGCUUCUCAGAACUUGACUCCGUUACGAGACAAGAGUUCGGGGAAAUCAUAGCCCAAAGCCCCGAGCAUGGCCCAUCUUGAGUGGAUGACUUCAAGUUCACGGUUUUUGGUAAAGGUUUCUGGGUCAGCUGAGAGCCCAGCAGUGUCCCAACCGUAAUCACCGGGGAAUUCUUCAGGAGUCAGUACGGUAAGAAGGGGCCUCACCAGAGAACGGGCCCAAGUAUUUGACACGGUCGGGGCCGUACCACGGACUGCUGGAUGAAACAUUUUUGGACUUGGAUGCGGUUUUGCGCAUUGUAACUCGGCCCUCACGUCACCAACAAUUAUAGAAACAGAGGAACCGAGCUUGACAGCUUGGCCAGCAAGAGAAGGGGAGGAGAGAGCCAUUGUUGAAGAGGCCAUUUUAGAAAAAUGAAAGUGUAUUGUAUUGAGGGUUGCCUUUUAGACAAUGUGGGAUUGUCAAGUGCCAAGUGUCAAGUGCCAAGAGCGUUAGAGCUUCUUGGUGUUUGAGUAGGACGGUAUAUAAUCCUAUCCAAAAAAAAAGAAGACGGUAUAUAAUCUGUAUAUUUAUAGUGUUGGUGCAUGGGGUCCUUAUCUUAUCUAAGUUAUAUCUUGAUCUGUUUUCUUAUUGGUGAAAAUGAAGUUCACAGAUUCUCUCAAUGAAUCUCUCCCUUUGCUUCACUCCAGUUGGCUUGCCAGGCUCCACUGGUAAAUUGUAUUCUUCAAUCUCUUUGUCAAUUCUUGGUUGCUGUUCUAUUAUGGAUGUUUGAUAUGCCCUGACCUCUCUGACCAAUAGAAUUUUCCCACGUACUCUCUUGGAUGAGAGUUCUAAGAAUGUUGGAUAAGGAGAGAAGAAUCUAACAGUGAGAAAUCUGUGUUGGCUUCAUCAACUGGAAGCCCAAAAUGAAUGACUUACGCCCUUGAUUUGUAUACCAGAGGGUAUAGAUACAGAUCAUUAGCUAAAUAAUCUGGAUUCUGAAUUGAUGCAUGUCGUUUAACGAAUGGGAUCUAUGAAACUCAUGGUCAUUAUAAAGAAAAACAAAAUAAUACCACUCAGACUGAGGCCAAAUAAAAAAAGAAAAUGCCAUUCAGAUUGAGAAUUCAAUAUAGCUGUCAAUCAUGUCGAAAGAAAAAACUGUGUAACCUAACAUGAAUUAUACAUAAUCUAUAGUGUCCAGAGCAGUCCAACUCCGAUUUAAGAGAAUUCAUGAAUCCAUUGCUUUGGUGUUGAAGAUUUGAAUAUUCGGAGAAGCAAUGCCCUCUCUCUUCUGCCUAGCUUCUUUGCACCAUAACCCCGGAAAACACCAAGCUUAAGUGCUUUUUGCCCUUCUUCCAGACUUCCUUUUCUCACAGCCAUCAGUAAAUCUGUUCCUUGGGUACUAAUGUUCUCUUCUUUCCCACUUUCACAUUUCUCUUUGUCCACUACAGUUGAACUUGCACCAUCAUCUGCCAAUUUUUCCGACUGAUGUUUCUUGUCUUCAUCAGUCUCAGCUCCUUCUCCACGGACGCUCUCAUAACCAUCAGGGCUAUUGCUUCCCCACCAUUUAUUGGAUGCAGUGGAUAAGCCAUCAGAUGGGAAUCCAUGUUUAAAUUCAUCAUAGGUUGUAUUUCCUUUAGUCAAGCUUAAGGUGAGUACAUUCUGGGGACGUCCAGUCUGAACAUUUUUGCUUCCUUGCUGCUGCGCAGGAGGAGAAACUGUGAUGCCUUGUGAUUUCGCCAUUUCACUAUCAGGGUGUUGACAUCACUGCAUUCCAAAAGUUAAAAGGAGUAAGAUGAAUGAGAAGGACGAAGAAACAAACACUCUUUUUGAGUAACCAAGAAAAGAAAUUAAAGCCCUCUUUGAAUUUAAAAAAAAGGAAAAUGGCUCUUUUGCACAAAACUUUAAGGCAAUAAGCAACCCGAAAAUCCUACUGUCAGGCAAAAUGUGGUAUGUUAUUACAGCUAUGAAGUUAAUUGCAAGAAGAAGCAUCCAUCAAGGAUAAGUUACAGAUGGGAAUAACUCAAAAGAACAAUGAAAGAAGAAAGAUUUUUUUCCAGGGAACAUCAAAGAUGAGUCAAAGAAUUUGACAGGUAAAUGACUAAGUGGAAAGCACCACCAGGGAUCCAUACACUAGUCAGACUCUGCUUAAUACAUAUUCAAUCCCUUAUUAACAUCUAAAGCUGAAGCCUUAAUGUUCUAAACGCACUAUCAAUCCGAUACGUGUUUAAAAAAAUAAGUUUUUUCGUUUUUUUUCGUAGUUAAAAAAUCUAAUAAACGAAAGCUUGUUUUAAUAAUUUUUUUUUCCUUCUUUACCCCAGAGAGACAUUGAAUAGUAUCUAUAUGAAGAAGAAAUCAUGUAACGAAGGGGAUUCUUAUUUGUACAAAUGGUACUUGAAAAAGCACUAUCUCGUUGAAAGGUUCUAUACAUCUGCCCUUUCUCAAGGCAUUUCUAUGAUACAUGAAUAAGAGAAAAAUCCCCAGAUGAAACCCCUUACCUUACUUACCCCCGGUCCCUUUACUUAAGCCAAAAUGAAGGGGGCAAAAUUGCCCGAACCCUUGUUAUUUUAGUUAUGGUUUUUGAAGCAUAUCCAAAAAUUUCCUUCUUUUAAUCCUCAAGCAUAAUAUAUCAAGCCCAAAUAAAAUAAGCUCUUCCGUAUAAAUGCAGAAGUCUCUGCACACGUAGUGUCUUUGACCAAAUAGGAGAAAUAGCAACCAAAAAUCUAGCUGAGACUCGGCCAAGAUCCAAACUUCGUGCCCCAAUCUUUGGCAUACAAACCUAGUUUCUCGUAUCUUCAGAAAACCUUUCAAUCUCUUGUGCGGAAGAUUAUAAGAAUUUGAAGUAAUUUUUGAAAAAUGAAUCAUCAUUGUUAAAGCGGCAUUUUCUUCUCUACAGAAACACUUGAACACGCACCCAUCAAAUGAAUUACUUAAAAAUGCUAAUACGCAUUUCUUUCUAGAUGGAUUGUGGCAUUAUGGAAGUACAUUUCUAGCUUCCGGAAGCAAGAAAAGGUAAUUCCAAAACGACAUAGCUAAACGUUUAACAUGACGGGGCAGCAAAACAACAUUUCCCGAACCAAUUUCCAUUCUUUUCCCAGAAAUUUUACUGUCCUUGUUUAUUUUCUACCCUCGUUUCCCGGAAACCAAACAGAAGGCAAGACAUCAAACACAAAUUAAAUAAAUAUGCAUGAGAGAUAGAGAGAGAGUACCGAGAGCAGAAGCGGCAUGUCAGCGGGGAAGAAGAUUUAAUUCGAUACUUGAUGGGGGAAGAGAGAGAGAGAGAGAGAGAGAGAGAGAGAGAGAUUGUGCUAGUUCUUAACUCUCGAAGCCGGGAAGGCGUUUGGUAAUUGCAGUUUGCAACCUGAAUUUUGGGUUUUUUUUUUUCGAACCAACAAAAAAGACAGAAUUUUGGGUUUUUUUUUCACAGUUCCAACACACUCCUUUGGCCUAGGCAAGGCAACGGCCAACACGUGGCAAGAUCGAGUCAGUUGAAUUUAGUUUAUUUUUUUCCCUUCAAUUUUAUGAAAUGCUUAAUCGCUUUAAGUUUUUCUUUUGGUCAGAAAAAUCACUUAAAAAUAAAAACUUAGGCGGGAGUAAAAAACAACCUACAGAAUCAAUUCAAUCCAAGUGGUUGUAAUUUUUAAUCGGAGUGAAUUGUACCCCGCAAUUAAUUUGAUUCAGUUCAAUUUAAUUUUUUUCCUUGAAGCAGAUGCUCCCAAGGGUAGAUGCAAUUUUUUUCCUUUCCUUUUUCAUGUAGAUUAAUUUAAUUUAAUUUAAUUUAAUUUAUGAAAAAAAGUUUAGGGAAAGAUUGGCUACUCUCAUCACCAGCGUCAGAACAAACCCACAACCUCAAGUCUGGACUUGAACAUUGGUGGGACUACACAUAAUUCAAGGAGCUUAACAACUAAACCAACACUCGUUGGCGUUUGGUUUAUUUAAGUGCGUUUUUAGCUAUAUUUGAAAGUUUUUAUAAAAAUUGACAUUUAUGAAUUUGAAGGUUAAAUUUGGACUAUUAUUGAUAAAAACUUGCUGAAAACGGUGGAUGUUUUAAUCUGCUGUUAUAAAAUCUGAUUCUCUGCCUAAGCCAAAGGCAAAAGGAAAUCAAACCCAAACAUCCUCAGAAAGUUAGAGAUAUCUUACAAAUCCAAUGAAGAUUCAAAAUUUUGAAUUAAACAUCACAAGCGGAAACAAGGUAGCAGCAGCAAUCCAGUAGGUUUCUAUUCUAAUAAUAUACAUGAAAGUACGAAAAUUAAAUAGGCAGUGAGAGGCAAAUAAAAAGAAAUACAAGUCACUCUACUUGAUCUCCUCCCCCAUAAAAUUAGUAUCUGUGGUUCUGUGGAAUUUUUCACAUAAUAAAUUAUAUUCUAAUGUGGAUAUGAACCUGAGAUAUGCUAAAAACUUGGAAGCAGAUCAGAUGCCAUUUCAAGUCUGUUCCCGUGACGUCGUCUUGUCUUUCCUCCCUGCAAGAAUCAUUGAAAUUUGUAGGCCUCUACUGAAUGCUUGGUUGAAGAGCAAACGUGUUUGGAACUCCGAUACGAAUGGGAACCAUGACAAAAUGGCUAUGGGCAUGAAGAUUAUAAGUCCCAUUAUAUAAUCGUAUGCUCUCCCCAGCUCCUUUAUUGACUCCCAGAAUCCUAGACCCUUAACCAUCCUCCUGCAUGCUUGCCCAAUCUUGAAAGCACAAAAUUAACAAUUGGUUUAGUAAAUUCACACUUUAAAUGAAUGUUAAUGUUGUUAAGAGUUUAGGACAUCUUUUUUUCUGAGCAUAAUUUUGAGAAAGGCAUUUUGAAAAGAAAACUCUCAACGCGCUAUUGCAUAAACUACAGAAGACAUUUCACUUACCAGAAGAAGGGCCCAUCCUGUGGGCAAGAAGGCAAGCAUAGCAGCAAAUAGAUCUGAGAUAGUAAGGCCACAAACAACAAAUAGGACAGUCAUGACUGACAUGAAACCAAGAAAAAGAAGUGCUUUCAGAAUCCUGAACAUGAGCUGGAAGUCUGUGCCAAAUCUUCGUCUACCCAUAGAAACCAUCUGUGAGAGAGAGAGAGAGAGAGAGAGAGAGAGAGAGAGAGAGAGAGAGAGAGAGAGAGAGAGAGAGAGAGUGAGAGAGAGAGAGAGGCACCAAAAUAAACAUCAGACCAAAUAAAGAGAUAUAGAAAUAGUGAUCCCAGAAAAGAAAAAAAGGAGAAGGAAAAAGUAAAAAGGAUGCUUAUGUUUUCAUCAUUAAUCUCUAAAGGCAUAAUUGCAUAAGUUAUUUGUGAUUUCUACCUUUAAGACGAGAAGAACGGUUACCAUAACUACCCAAGAAAGUCCAUAAACCUGCAAAGAAAUUGAAAAAGUUGGAAAACUUAGGCCGUAAACCUAAACAACUCUUUAUAGGCAACCAAGAGAACAAAUAGUCAAAUAUAAUGGGACAUAAAUAAUACCAGCAGAUUCUUGCUGUGAUGAGCUAUAUCAAGGUGGUAAACAAUUCCAUAUUGGUAAACAAAGAAGCGACAUGCAAGUAUUAUCUCAAUAACUCUUCCCCGGAUAACUGUGUGUUUGAGGUGUUCCUGUUCUUCAUCCCACCAUGAUUCCCAACUUUUGUCAGGUGAGAUCCCAAUACCACCACGAUUUCCCAUCCACCUCUUCCAAUCUGUCCAAUCAUCUACAGUUUUCUGCCAGUCAAAGCUGGAUGGAUUGAAUACAAAAGGAGCAAACAACCAGGAAGCAACCAGAAACCACAUGGAGAAAGUGAUGAAAAAAUAAAGAUUUGAGCUCUUAUAAGCUUUCCCGUAGACUCCAUACACAAUCAGCAGAAUAAACAGCUCCAACCCUUUCACAAAGUGACUGCGCGAGUAUAGCCUGUAGUUCUCGGAAAACUUGGCAUGGAAAACAACAAAACCACGGCCAGUUGCUCGGUAUUUAGAUCCUCCAUGUAAGAUUGUCCUUCCAUAGUAAUGUACUUUUGUUCCUAGUUGGAAUGUGAAGAAAACAGAGGCCAGCUGCAGCUGCAUGAUGAUAAAAUCACCCAACGCAGUGCGGAACCCUUUCUCCAGGCCAAUUUCCAUUACCAUGGGAAGCACAAGCAACAAGCCCAGUUGAAAGACAGACUGGGUAGCCAAAGACUCUUCGAAGGCCUUGUUUUCAUGUAUGGCUGGGUUAUCCAGGAUCUCGCUCUCCAAUCCACUCAUGACCAAGUAGACACGUCCAUAUAAAAACACAUAUACAGUCAGCACAGUUACCUGAAACAAUAUAAUGCCCAUAUCAAGAUGCAAUACAUACUUCAAAUUGUAAAAGAUUACACCCUUCCAAGCAACAUCUACACAUAAAGCCAAAACCAGCCAAAACAAAUCCUCAAAACUUUAGGCGUACUCUUCCUAUUGAUGCAAUUCUUAGAUUCAAUCAAUUUAGCUGUCAUGAACAUUGUAUUGGUAACAUCUACAACUAUUGUACAAUUUGAAGAAUCGGAUCACUUAACAUGAAUCAAACACAGCCAACCUAGUCCUUUAGAGAAAAGAUUCUUUAAUCAAGUGCAAAGACUGCCGUCCAAGCCUAUCUGCUAUAACCUACUAGAGAUACUAAGUAAAUCAAUAAACAAAGGAGAUUGGUUUUAGCUAACAUACCAUACUACUAAAAUAGAAUCCAACGGUUGUGAAGUAAAAAGACAGCAUUCUAUAGAAAUCAAACCGACGCCCAAGCCGGUAAACAUCGCGGCUAAGUGUCUGUUCUCCAUUUCCAUUUGCAACCUUAGCCUCAAAAAGCGAUAUUUGAUUCAUUCCCACAUCACGCCCCUUGCCUACUUGGAUAUACUCGUGAUGUGUUAUAAAUCCCCCACGCAUAGUUGAAUUGUACCCUGUAGACAUCCAACAAAAUUACAAUUAGUCAACAGAUAAUACUUACUAGUCAGGGAUCUUCUGAUGAAUGGCAAAAUUACCUGCAAAUAUAUCCUCGCUUAAGUUAAUUACUUUUGAAGCUUUGCUUAUGCCACCUCUUGUUAUGUGGAAGAUUCUGUCAAAUAUAUCAGGAUGACCAUAAUGGAACCGUACCCUGUCAAGUGAGAUUGGCAUUAGAGAGAUACUAGAAUGGUAAUAGUACAUAAAUACAUCAGAACUUUUCCUUUUCUUAAAAAAAAAAAAAAAAAAGAAAAGAAGAAGAAACGAUUGGAUUGUGAAAAAAGAAAGGCAAUUGAGGAUUGGAUUACAAUUCUGGCGGCUAGAGUUAAAUGGAAACCCAAGCCCAACCUGAGAUUGAACAAACUAUCCAUACCAAUAGCUACGGCCUAGGAUGUGCUGAAUUUCUUCUUUUUAACUUGCAAAAGGUGAUUAAGGCAUCAUUAGCCCGUGACAUGAAACCAAUUUAAACUAGGCUUCCCCCUUAAGUAUAUACUUCAGAAAAUUCUAAGUUCACAUUUGAACAGUGGAUUGUACUUCCAUAUAUGUCAUCUGGCAUAACUUUGGACUAAGACUGUUAAUCAUUCUCUAAAAUAGAAAAAAAAAUUAAAUAAGACACUUUUAACAAUCUUACAUAAUCUUUACCAUUCUCUUCAAUUUUUAUUCACCCUGUCCACUGCCUAAACCUUUAAAUAUUAGAAGCCACACAUACUCCACAAUUUUUUGAGAAAAGAAAACUGAGGAUAUGGCAAAAUUUACGCUGACUGGUCCGGUCUGUGAAUUGUACUGUGCUGAUAUUAUUCCCAUUAUCGGUAGAAAUAAAAUUAUAAAUAUGAUACGUACAUAAUAUUCUAUUAUAAAGUAAAUAGGACUCUUCUAUUAAGGUCCCCCACCCAUUUAAGAAAAGAAAAGGCAACCAAACAAAGAAUGUACAAAUUUAAACUGAAAUGUGGCUCAGUCAAAUGUAAUUUAAGGCUUACCUCAGCGGAUUUGCCAAAAUUCUUUGACCAAUAGUUACAAAACUAGUCUCUUGAUUCGACAUAAACCAAGCAAGUGAUGAAACACUGAAAAUUAAGAAGGAAAAACAAAAAUAAGCACAUAACAAUACAAUUGCCACUAAUCAGUAACAUAUCUGCAAAGAAUCUCUGUCACAGCAGUCAAUUAAGGUCCAAUAAAUUGUGAAGAGAUAUAUUAAAAGGCUGACCUUCCAGUGAAUAUAUGCUCCCGUAGCCCCAAUAUUGUGGGUUUCCGUUGCCCAAGACGAGGCUUUAGGAAUUCCUCCAACACAUUUCUCAUUUUGAAAGCUUCUUCAAAGUAAUUAUCCUGGAAAAAAGGAUGAAUAAGGCACAAUAUAACACCUUUUCCCCCUCUCUUUUGAUACAAUGAGCAACUUUCUAAAGCUAGUUUACAUAAAGACACAAGGAAAGCUACCUGAUUCAUGUCUAUUGUCUGCAGGGCUUCUCCACGAGUAAAGAUAAUGGCAUGAUUUUGAUUUUCAGGUUUUCCUUCACCAAUUACUGUUGGAGGACCUGGAAGCUUGAUGCGGUAUAUUUCCUACAAUGUAAGAAAAUUCCACAAACUAGUUAUCAACUAUCACCUACAUUUGAUACGGCUCAUACGAGAGCAUUAAUAUCAAUACAGGUAGGCAGGAGCAGCUCUAAAUUACUCCAUUAUUUGUUUGGUUGCCUUGACACUUGGUAUUUAAGAAGGUUAUAGAUGAGAUGAGAGAGUAAGUGAUAGGUAGACAUUCCACAAAAAGGUAAAAAUUGUCUACAACAAAGUGCAUAUCUAAUAAAAGAGAUUAGAGAUGAAGCUAAACAACCAAUGGUCAAGAAAUGAAAAGCACAUUCUUAGAUAAGCAAACUACUUGUAAGAUCAUGGGCAAGUGCCUAACAAAGUGAGAUUUAGGGAACAAGAUCUUAGCUUGUGUCUAGUGAUAGAAUAUUUCAUAACACAUAACAAGAUCUUAGAAUGAAAAUCUUUUUCCUAUUGGAAAAUUGAAAUUAUUCAGAAAUUAAAUGGAAAAUGGGCAACGGUAGUUUCAGCUUGAACAAAUGGCAUGAAGAAGAAUUAACUAUGUUCAUACUAUGCAUAAAAUGAUAAAACCGUGAUUUGUUAAAACAUUCACCAUAGAAAAGUACUAUUACUUAAUACAACUAUGUUGUACAAGAAUAAGUUUCUUCCUUUUCCUUUUUUCUUUUCAUACUCUAGCCCUCCACUACAUACAUGCUUCUAUUUUAUUUAUUAAAAAUACCCACGAUCUCUCUUGUGUUAUUAUUCUUGGUCUUGUCCUCAUCUCCAAAAUUAAAACCAUAAGUUUAAAAUACCAAUUACUUUCAGUGCUUCUUAAAAAAAUCCGAUGUAUUCAUGCACAUGGCAGAAUAUGUUACAAAAAGAAAAGAAAAAACUUAUAAAUAUUUUCUACUGUAGAAAUAACAGAAAUUUAUUAUUCAGCAAAAUUACACCAAGAUUGAAAGAAAAAUUCACUUUUGUAAUAAAACCUGAAUAUUUAAAUUUGAGAAAUAAUAUUAAUUUGAAGGAUUGUUCCUUCCAAUUUUAGGCAAACAAGUUCUUCAAUAGCUUUAUUUUUCUUUGUAAUAGUGUAAGGCACAUGGUAUCCACAGUUCACGGUCUAUAGAACUAGUUGUUUUUUUUUUUUCCAUACCUCAUCCCAUUUGUCACCACCCUUGACUAGAACAGAGAAGUGAGCUUUUUGUGAUUUUCCAUUCACAUGCUCCUCCCUUGUAUCUAUGUAAGCAACACGUAGAGAUGGAUACCUACAAAAAAGAACACAUAAUUAAAGAUGCCAUAAACAAUUUAAAUAAAAAAUGAAACUACAGAUUGUUCAUCCUAUGGUAAUAUUGACUCACGUUAGCAUCAGCUUCAGGAUAUUAGAGUAAGAACUUUUGUCUCGAGGAUCAGGAGAAUUUUUCUGAGCACCAUACAUCUGACAAGAAACUACAUAAGUAAACUUCAAAUCUGCCAGAGCUUGUGCACGAUCAAGAAAAGCCUUCUCAUCAUUUUCGCUUAAUUCCAUGGUGUGGUAGCCUCCCAAAAUAGCUGCAAAAUAACCAUUUGCCACUUUACUAGCUUUUACAAAAAUUUUGGAAGCAAAAUCAGGAACUUUGAUCUGGAGAUCAAAAACAGCAUCUGUCACAGAAAUUACUAACCACUAUCUCCUGCUGUUUCCAGGACACACUGAAUGUCUAGAGCCUUCCUAUAGUACAUCAUCCCCCUCACUAGCAGAAAAAUAUAGAUAAAAAGUUUAGGUUCAAAGCUUUAAAUGAUACUUGUACAAGAGACCAAAUUACUCAUUAUCCAGACCUGUUCUAGAAAGUGUCUGUCCCCUAUAAGAUACCCACUGGCGAAUUAACUCUGACUUGUCCUUAUCAGAAAACUCAUUCUUAGGAUCCUUUAUGCGAUCCUGGAAAUUUGUCCAUUCAUCUAUUUGGCAGUCAUAGUUAGUUGGCAGGGGUAAGUUCAAGUCAAUUCCAAACAAUGAAAAGAAUAAUACAAGAGUGAGACUCCAACGCACCAGGAUAUAUUUUCUGCAGGUAGAACAAAAUUGAGAUUCCGUCCUCAUUUUCCUUCGUAAGUUCAUCAUCAGAAUAGAGGACAUCUUCUUUGUAAUAAGGAGUCAGAACACUGAACCAAAAAUCAGGAAGAAAAUUUGAUCUUAUAGUAGAAACUAUUAGAAGACCACCACAAAAUAUAUAGUUGAUAAAAAAAUAAUAUGCAUCCACUCAUAUGAUACAGAUCCUGAAGCAAAUAAGCAAAUCUUGAAAGUGGUACGAGAUACAUUAUCUUCAAUAAAAUUUUAACAUGUUAAUACAAAAACCAUAUUGAUCCCUCACCUUUAACCAAAUCUCAGCAACAUCAGUUUUCUUAAGAGGUUAAUUCCCUAUUUCAUUGAACAGCCCAAAUUUUCCCAAUACAAAUUUGGUGUUUAUAGUGACUGACCUAAAUGAGAGCAUGUCACGAACUUUGGGAGCACGUGGCAUGUUCAUGAAUAAGGAGUUUGCAAAGAAGGUGAUGCGCCUGCGAGCUUCCAAGUUUUGAGGCACAUUGAUGGCAGAUUCCUUGACGGUCAAAAGCAAAUGAAGUCUAACGACCUAUGUUAAUGUAGAAGAUAGUAAGACUAAAAGAUCUAAGAUAUUCAGUUAAUGUCAUUACCAAAAGAAUGCCUGCCAAAGUUACCUUCUCCCUCCAAGCUGUAUUCUGUGUAAGGAAUAUGUUAAUCUUUUGAAACCUUUGCUCCUUCUUGACAUUUUGACCAUCAAUGUAGUGAGCUGCUUCCAGUAUUCUACAAAGAGAAGAGGAACAUUAACAUACAGGUGACAAAAAGGCUCAUUCAUUGGUGAAAUAUGACAGUUUUUGUUCCAUCUCCAGCAUGUAUUUAUUUCUUAGUACUCACUGAUGGCCGUUGACCAUUACAUCCUGUGUGAUAAUCUCCAUGAUAUCUUGAAGGACAUUGAUUAUCUGACGCAUGGAAUUCUCGACAUUCUCAUCUUCGGCAAGCUGCUACAUACCAACUUAAAUACUCAGACAGGACUAGUAGAAUGUGCAGACAAUGUCUAUCAGUUCAUUGCUAAAAACUCAGCAUUAAAAAUUAGUAAGGCACGAAGGAAGUAUGUUACCAAGAGUUUUAGAAAUUUCUCCAACCUCUCGCUAAGAAAUGGCAGCCCACUCAUCCGGAAAUAGGUCAAAAAUUUUUCCUGCUGUAUACUACUGUCUACUUCGUAACAUAUCUGCUUUACAAUCCUGUUAUAUAAGAUGAAACAAACUUUCAUAUGCUUCUUAUAAAAGAAUGGUAGUGUUAAUUUUUUCAAUAAAAAAAUGUGUACGAGCAGGUUGUGGCUAUCUAUGACAUUCAACCUGGUAUGCUUCUGACUUACAUCUUAUCCGCUGCAUCAUCCAGAAGGCCAAAUAUAAUAUCCCUAAGUGUCUCAUAGCAUUCAAUUACUGCCGAGUACAUAUAAUCAUCACUCUUAAUCUUUCUAAAUAAAUCAUCAUCUGCCUUCCCUGUAAAAUCUUUUGCCAUGUCUAAUGCUAUAGGAAUCUUCACAAGUAAAAACAAAGUAUAAGAGUCGCAUAUUUGAUUUGUAUUGAACAUUAAAUUAACAAAUGAAGCCAUGCAAAAUGUACCUUACUAGCAAGCAAGAAAGGAGGCCACUGAACAACAGACACAUCAUUUGAAGAAGAUGGAACAAGCAGCAGAUCUUUAUCUCUGAAUGGUUUAAAUUGAAAGGAUAUAAUCAGAAACUUACAAAAAAGGCACUGAAAGGCAAAUUAGAGAGCAAAGUAGUCAACCUAUUGCUGAUCAGGUCUUCCAAUCGCAUAGAAUUUAUGAACUCAUUCCACACAUAAGAGAAAUCGGCAAUGUUCUUUCGUUCGAGUGCCUCAUCCUGCCACAUCAAAGUGUUUACUUUUAGCAAAACACAUAGAAGAUGAAAGGCUCUAAGUCAUAAUUGUUUCAUUGACAAGUGCAAAACAAAUUACCCACAUCUGCAUGUGGUAUGCAAAUCAUUUAUCUUGUAUAAAAUACAUUACGUGGAGCAAAAUCAACUGAAAUUCAUGUACUAGAGGGAAUAAGAAAACACAGAUUAAAAUUAGUACCUCCAAUUGUCUUUUCUUUUUGGCAUCCUUAUUUGGGGAUGGCAUAAGACGAUUACUGAAAGCUGAAGGCACAGACUCAAAUCUGGACCGCAACAUCCCAAGGGUCCGUAUCUGAGAGACAACAAAUGGAAUAAAGGGAUCAUUGGGAAGAAACAAGAGCCCAUCUGAGACAGAAAUACUUAUAAAAGACAAUAUUCAAAAAGAAAAAUAGACAAAUGUAAAAGCGUGAACAGAUUUGACACUGACCUCACCCAAAUGGCUGAAGGCUCCAUGAAUCCCACCAAACAGAGUAGAAAAUAUUGCAUACCAUAUUUGUGCAUCCAUAAAAUAAACCUAUGUACCAAUAAUCAUUAAAAAGUGGUAACUGACAUAACAGUGUAUAAGAACUGCAAAUUAUGACAGUUUUCAAUCAUAGAAUUCUUCAGCGGUUCACUUACCAGGACAAUUGGAGCCCAUAUUGCAAUAACAACGCCCAUAUUAUGAGUUACUACAUCAGUUCCAAACGUGAAUUUGUAGUAAGAACAGGCUACAGUUGCAAAAAAUUUAAGUGAAAACAGUAAAACAAAGUUUGAAAUAUUACCAUUUGGAAAGAACUCAUGCCAUUGAUAAUUACUAAUAGGCAUCUUCAUUAUCACUUUUGUUGGUCCAACAAGCGGCAGUAUCUAUGACCAGAGUAUACAAAUAAAGCUUAGUAAAAUUAUCUAAAUCCAAUGGAUCCUCAAAGGAAAAACCUAACUUCUUUUCAGUUACAAUGAAUGACCUAGCUUUGUAGUAACAUUAGUUCCAUUAUCAAAUUUUUUUACCGGGUAAAGUUUCCUAAUUAGGAAAAAGAAUACUGUUGCUCAGCUCUAGGUGGAAUAACAUUAGGAGACAAUGUUCAGGCUAGUGGAGUUGAGGACUUCUGCUGGCUAGGAGUAGAACUCAUGUUAUGUUCUUUACAUAUGUUGUUUAAGGUUUUCCACAAUAAUCUUUUCCACUGCCCAAUGAGAACGAAGUCAGGUAAUUCAAAAUUUCAUUAUUUCUCCGCUCACAAUGAAUCUAUUACUUUCCUUCUUUUUCUCAUAACUUCUGAGGUUAUAGAUAUGUGGUAAUCUUCAAAUAUGACUUAUAAGCUACUGAUGUGGAGAGAUAUUAAAAAAAUAAUGUGAUGUUGUCAUGAUAACGCUACAGAUGUGAUUUGUGGUUCAAGGAUUAUCCUGUGUGUGUUUUUUUGUACAAUCUUCGUGUGCAGAUCAAGGAUUUCAUGUCCAUGUUACCCAAUAUUUACAGAGUGGAUCUUGGCAACUUAUUUGUUGCAACUUAAGAUGGCAUGCAUCCUAAAAUUCUUAAUUCUUCAGUUGCAAUUUCAUGAACUAAACUGAGUUUAUGCACACAAAACACAGAUUGUACUAGUGUGGGUUUGGUGUGUUUUGGGGAAGAGAGGGGGGGGGGGGGGGGGGGGGCGGCGAGGCGGUGGUUGCAUGUUUGGGUGUGUUAAGAACCUACAUGCAUAUGCCAAUGUCUUACUACGCAAGUAUGUGACAUGAAUAAGCAACAGAAAAUAAAAUAGGGAUUUUCAGAUCAGAUAAAAAAAAUUAUUGAAGAGAAACCACCUCCACAAAAUAGCUGAACGAUAGCUUGCUGAUUAGCAGCAUGAUCCAAAACAAAGUAUAUCUGAAUAUAAAGAUAAUUUUAUUAAAAUCAAAGCAAAGCACCAGAAAUCAAAUAGAAUGACCAAUGAGUAGAAAGACAAGCAGCGAAAUGGCUAAACCCACACACGUUCAACACCCCACUCUCAAAAGAUGAAGAAAGAUAAUAAAUAAAUUGAGACACGUUUUACUUACUUCAGCAGUGAAAAGACGUCCUCAUGCAGGCCUCUUCCUAUAUACAGUUUUGGCUGUAGUAUGGACAGCCACAGAAAAAUCAUUCAAAUUAACCAUAACUAGAACACAGAAUAAAGCGAAAAUAAAUAUUUACUACAAUCACAAGGCAACAAGAACUUUGGUUAAAACCAAAGCAAGACAUGCUUGCCUGAGCCCACCACAUAAAAAGAGUGACAAUGCGCCAGUUUGAUCGCUCUAUGUGUCUCCGUAAAGGUGGAAGAAAAAAUAGCACAGCAGCCAAUAUAUUAGGAAGUAGAUAGAUUGCAACAGCAUAGUUAUAAAAUGACUGAUUCCGCCAAUCCCUAGCCCAACUGCUGAAGAAUUUCAGAAGUCCAGUAGGAUUCUGCACAGAACUAGAAUAACCAACAGGCAGAACCACAGCCCACACACCAGCUACUGCAAAUUUCAAGAGGUAUCGUAGUAUUUGAGUGAGCUUCAAGCUCUUCCAGGCAUUCCAACUAAGAACAAUAUCCAGAGUGGCUGAAGAACAUAAAUAGACCGUAUGAGAAAGUGAAGUACAAAAAAAGUCACUCAAUAGUUAUACAUUAUAUGGAAACAACUGCUGAGAAUUCCCACCAUGAACUAAUAUGGAAACAAACAGAAACAUUAAAGAUAUCGCUAGUACCUUGUAAUAAAUUGAGGAAAGCAUAAGUGAUGAAGAUGCUUAAAACACUUCUGAAGACAUCCGCAUCAAAGAAAGCAGUCAGAGAUCCAGAAGAACUCCAUGCAACAAUAACCAUAGCCUAAAAAUCAGAAAUAGUGAGGCACAUUCCUUAAGGAGAACUGUAAAGAAUUAAAAGGAAAGGAUUUCUCCAACCUCCCAUAAAAUUUGUCUAAAAUACACAUUUUUUUAUGGGAAAUAUAUCAACCUCACUUGUGCGCAGGAGUUGCAAUUUUUAUGCAUAUGGAAGAGCUCCCCAAAAGGGUAAGUCUCAUGAUAACAGAGAAUCCCUCAACACAAGCAGACAGAAAUUUCAAGAAAAUUCCAUAAAUACCCUCAGCAGUAAAGAUGACCAUAGUUUUUUCAUAACCAACAAGAGACAAGGUUACUUGUAAGAUCAUAUUAAAUUUCUAAAAGCGAACCAAAAAUUUGAUUCUUACCAUUGUUGACAGAAACUUCUAGCAUGGGAGUUUAGUGUAAAUUCAUGAUUGUGUAAUUGAAAACUCUAAGGGAGGUUGGCGUUAUUUACUCAAAUUACCAACACAUUAUCCAACAUUUAAGGCUACCUGGAAAGCCAAUAUGAAGAAUAUCCACAUUCGAUCAAAACUUCGGUACAGGUGCAAAAAUGUUCGGACUUCCACAAAGUUUGUUUUAGGUUUCCUCCUCCCACCAGCAGCUUGAUUUGUCCUCUGUCAAACAUGUAUUCAGAUUAACAGAACUUUAUCUAAAAGAAACCUAUACAUAUGUAGGCACAAAACAAAUUAUGUUUAUAUGUAAACUAUGGACAUGCAUGCGGGCACACAUACAAAUGCAGAAAUGUCCAAUUCAUAAGAAAAGAAUGAUAUUUUAGUAAAUUGUGUUUGGCAAUAAAAUUUCCGUUUCUUCUCGAGAAAAAACAGAAAUAAAAUGUAAUAAAAUUGUUCCCCAAUAUGUCCAAGUUUUUAGUUGACCCUCCCCCACCCAAAUAAAUAAACAGAUAAAACCAAGACAGAUAAUUACCUCAUUUGCUGGUGGAAUCCCAUCUGAAUGCCUAAAGAAAUCUGCUUUAGGGUCCAUUGGCCACCCUAGCCUAAAACAUUUGUCAGACCUAGAAAGAACGAGCAGACCUUUCAGCCAUUUUAUAUCUGAAUGGAUCGAAAACAAAAAUUACCAUCAAAGAUACUAACCAAAAAUAUUCAUUUAGAUCAUCAUAAUUUCUCCAUCUUGAAUGACUUGCCUUGCCAUUUUUGUUUCUCUUUGCUUCCUUUGCAACAAAAGGAAGAUUCAAAUUUUGAAUUAAAAAGUAGUAAUAAAGAUGCUUCGUGUCAAUAAUACAUGCAGUAGAAGACCAUCUUUACCUUGUACAACACCUGGUAGAUAGGAGUUACAACAUCCCUCAGAAAAGAUUCUUCGUCACGUGCUGUUGUUUGGUAUGUUUCUCCACUAACCGGAUGAACAUUGCUAUAUAAAAUUCCAUAUACCUCGUUGGCCAUCUUAACAAUUAGUGAAGAAAAAUUAUUGUCAUACCUUAAAAAUUUCAGGACAUAUAAAAGUCCUUGAGACAAGUUGUGUAUUAAGAACAAGCAUGACUCAUAAACAAUUUUAUGAUAUAAUAUUUAUGUUGCAGACAAGAAAUCUGUAGAAUUACAGUCCCGUUCUCCUGGUCCACGGGACCAGGGACUUUCUUGGUCACUUAUUGUUGGAUUAAAAUCAACAGUGGAGAGUAGUCUAAACAAUUAAUUGAAUUUUUAAUUUUUAAUGCAAUUGUUUUUUAUAAUGCAAUUUUUAGUUACCAAGUAGCUAUUUCUUUCACAACAGAACAAAAGAAAAAGUAAAUACACAAGGGAAAAUUAGAACAUGCAACAUAGAUUCUUCCAAAGAAAAAUUUAUGAGAUUGACAGAAAUGAGGAAUUGAGUGACUAAAAACAACUUUGGAUUAUAUUCACAAUAAUUCAUUUGGGGCUCCUUUUCUGGUAUAACCUCAUCUAGUGGGGCUUCGAUUUUGAAGAGUGAUCACUGACAGUUAGGAUUUUGUUCUGUUAGAUCAGCAGGAGCUGUAGUAAUUAGUAAUUUAUAUAAUUGUCAUGCAAACCGAAUAAAUUUGGUGACUUGUAUAUGCACCUCUGUACUCCCUCUCUCUAAGAAUAAAAUGUUAUUCUAUCAAACCUAAGAACCAAAAAGCAUAUAGCUAGUAUUCUUUUUAAGAGAAACGCUACAAGUUUAUUGAUAUGAAGUUACAUAGAAAUCUUACUGAUAAUAUAAAUCAAUGUGGUCAUUGAGUUGGCAGUUUUCAUGUUGUCAUGACUCGUGACAAGUAAUUGUAUGGAAGAACAACUUUUAAUUAGUGACUGCUGUACCAGUUCCUAGAAAUUUAAUGUUUUAAUAGAUGGUUAGGAAUUGAUUUAAAAAUCAGGUUACCUGUCAGAAGGCUUACCCCAUUAAAAAAAAAGCUAUGAUAAGAAGAAACCAAGAAAAUCAUAGUAACUACUCAAGAGACUUGGCCAUUCUCAGAAGGAUUAUCAUUGAGAUGGGCCAUGGUAAGUCAGAAAAGGAACAACAUUAUGAUAUGAAACUCUCUAGACCAUUCAUAAUGCUUGACUAAUACUAUUAAAAAACAAAGAAAAAGAAAGAAAGCAUACGGACCUGAUGGAAAAUGUAGCAUAAGCAUUCAGGCAUGAAUCGAAUAUUUGAAGCUUCACCCCAUAUGAGAAGAUAGAGUCCAAUGUAAAUAAGCUCCAACUGUUGUCUGUCAGAACCUUGAGGAAACCUGAAAAGUUGUGGGGUUGGGAGGUUGGAGAGACACCAAAUCAAAAUUUGUAUUGCUGAAAUGGUAACAAGUCUAUAUGUAUUCGACUUUAAGGAAUCAAGUUAUAACUUUGAUAUUGUCCAGAUCACUCACUUGAGAUUUGAUUUGCAAUGCAAAUAGUUAAACCAUGAACGAUAGUUCUUAAAAAUUUUCUCCAUCAAAUGCUGUACAGUGCCACUAUUCAACUGCAAUAAGCUUUCUGUUAAUCUUUAAUGAUCACAUCAGAUAUAGUCUUGAAAAUUGAGAGCAACAAAAUUCAAAGCAAAGGAGAAAACACAAAGCACCUCAAAGGAACAUCGAUUUACCUGUGUGUAAUUUUCAAGAUUCCUAUGUCUUACAUCCAUGUUGGCAAGUAGCAAGAUUAAGUGUUCCCUCUGAUUUGCAACAUUUCCUUUCUUCAAACCCCAGAAAAGAUAAGACAACAUAGUAAGAAUCAUUGCAUCUAGCAGUAGUCUAUUGCAAUAUAUAUAUGUGUGUGUGUGUGUGUGUGUGUAUCUAGCAGUAGUCUAUUGCAUCAAAGAAUCAUUGAGCAUGCGAGGUGCAAGAACAAGAUUCGCAUCACUUCAAAGAAUGAUAUCUACUUAAUGAAGAUUGAGAGGACAGCCAAAAUGCACAUUUCCCACUGCUCCAAAUCCUCCCUUAUAAAAUUUGUCUUGGUUCCCAAUGGAUAUAAGUAAAAUAGCAGACUAUUGUAAUCAACUUGAGGCAGGGAUGCCAAGACCACAUGGAGUUAAUGCCCGCAGUUAUUAGGCAGUGAGGUAGGAAUAGGACAAGAGUCUUCAUAUGAAACAAAACACCAAUAUCAAAUCCAUCACAUAACAUUUAAAAGUAGCACCUUGAUGCUGCAAUUAUUGUCUUUUAAAUUCAAUAAGUUGUAGAUUCAAAUGGAAACAUGCCUAUUCAAGUCAUUCCUAUCUUGACCAAGUAGAAAGGCAACAGAAAACUCAAGGGAAAUGGCAAAGGAUAAAGAAAUAAGGGCUAGCUAUUUUUUUUCUUCAAUGUCCAUUAUUGUCUUUUUCAAUUACCUUGCCAUUCUUUUCAUUAGAUGGCAUUAGAUUAUUCAUAAUUAUUGACCUACAUUAAUUGCCACAUCCGAGUCAAAUUAAGCUCCACCCCUAGUUGUGGGCCAGUGGUAAGAGUAGCCAGUUUACUAGCUGAGAUCCACAAAUCAAGAAAAAUCCUUUUAGAAACUUAAACGUGCCUAUACAGUUGGACAGGUUUAGGGUUAGCACACCAAUACAAGUUUCAGACAUGCGGCUUAUAAAAACCAAGGAAAAAUGAAAGAGAAAGGUAUUUAGGCACAAGUUACCUGAAACCCAAAAAUAGAGGAAAGCCAAUCGAGUAUAUCGUUGACAGGUUUAAUCCUCUCGGUAGGAAUUGUUGACUUGUCAUCAGGAUUCAUGGGUUUUAAAUGCAUUAUUGGCAUUGGAAGACCAUUCACAUUUUGUAGAGCAUGAAGUGCUGCUUUGAUCUAAAUAUUUCCAGAAAAAAUAAAAGGGUAAAGCAAUGAGCAAGAGAGAAAAAUAAGAUUUCAUAAAACUAAAGCAGAGAUAAAUGAAAAUCACAUAUCCUACGCAUGUACAACCUCAGGCAGUUCCAUAAUUGCUGGUUUAACACCAACAGUAUAUAACGGAAGAAUGUUAUAGUUUACAUACUGCUCCCUUUUCCUCUUGACAUCUUCAGCAAUUUUCUGUGUCUGCAAUGAAAAAAAUAAUAGAAUAGCCAUGUUUUCAGUGCCUUCUCUAUCAAUCUGUCACUUAAGAACUUGAGCAAUCCUGGAAUCAUACAAAUCAAACCUGUUGAUCAAUUUGAGGUUGAGGUACCACUGUCUUGAGCACGUCAUAUAGUACAGUUGCAAUCUGAAUAAUCCUAGCCAUCUCUUCCCUUCAAUAUAUAAGAGACAAUGAGUAAUUCAAUAGUAAAAGAAAGGUAGCAUACCAACAAUUCAAAAACAAGACUUACGGUUUUUUUGUGUAUUCUCCUUCUAGGAUAUUGUUCCGAUAAAAUUGGUGGUAAAAAUACAGGAUUUCUUUUGUAUCAGAUUUAGCAAGCUGAUGUCUUGUCUCUUCUUCUUCCUGCAACAAAAAGAAUUUUAAGAGAUACAGAGAAACUUCAGUUCACUUUCAGGAGCUCUUAAAUACAAUAUAAAUCAGUCAUGAUAUUGAAUUAGUAUUACCCUAGAAUAUUAUUUAUAGGUCUAGAGAUUAUCUUUCGAUUCAGUCUAUGACUUGAUUUGCACAUUUCAUUCUAAAGUUAAAUGUUACCAUUUGAAAAAAAAAAAACUAAUUGUAUAAAUUGUUAGCUUGAUAAGCAUUGUUGGCUUAUUUCCUAACAACUUAAAUUCUUGGGGUCCAAUUGUUGUCUAUAAUGGUAUCAGAGCUGUAAUUGCAGGAGGUAUUGAGUUCAAAACUUCUUAUCAUGGAAGGAAAAGGAUAAAAGAAGGAGAUGAGGGGAAGAAAUAAAAUAAUUUACAGAUAAAAUCACAAGUGAACUAAUCAUACACACAGCACAAGAAAUAUAAAUUAAGUUCCAAAAUCAGACCACUCUUCUGGAAAAAGGAAAUAAAAUACAAGAAAGCACAAAUAAUUUAAAAGUCCACCUUUUCAAGUCUGUGCAAAAGAUGUGUCUUAAACUGACGAACACCACGUCCACUUGAUGUUGGAUCCAUUGUGUGCGCCUUCUCAAAUCCAUGGAAGCGGCCUGAUUGCACAAAAUAUAUCAACCUAAGCGACGAUAACAUUUACUGAACUAAACAGGAACACGUGAUGCAAAGAACUGUUAGAUUCUAUCCGUAUAGGAAAUAGAGAUUAGGUGAAAAUCUUCUUAAUGAGAAAUAAAAGUCUUGUUACGAUUCUGUCAAAUUUUCUGUCUUAUUUGUUCUAUGUAUAACAUUUAUCAACCGCAUUUUCCACCCCCUUCCCCUUUAUAUUAAACAUAUGAAACUAAGCCGGGAUCACUACCAUUCUUUUAAUUUGAAAAUAAUGAACGCUGAAUUUUACAACUUGACAUUAUGCAUAAAAAACUGAACUUAUAAAAUUCAUACAAAAGAAUUUAACUUUCUUUUUGUAAUUAGGUUCAAACAGUAUUUUAGUUGAGCCGGCCACCACCUAUAUUCAACAUAAUCAGAAUCACAAACACCAUGUAUUACUAUUCUAACAACAUCAAGCAAUGUGCUUUAAUAAUAAUGAAUUGCAAAAUAAUACAACAAAAUCACAUACAGAGGUAGGCAACCCUAGGGUUUUCCUUCUCAAUCUCAUUGGCGACACGAAAAAUGGGAGCAAUUGAGGCAAGGCACGAGGGCACAUCCAACGCCUCGUCCUCAGUCGGCAAGUCCAAAAGCCUCGUGGGCAUUCUCGUCAUUCGCCUCGAUAACGACCUCUGCGGGUCCUGAUUGUUCUUCGUCCCGCUGGAGCUCGCCAUUUCCGAAAAGCACCACCAAUACUCAGCCUCUCAGUUUCAGGUCUCACUGAUUUCGAUGUAGCUUGUUUGCAAAUGAAAGAGAUCAUCUUUUUAGGUAUUUGUACAGAGAUAGAAAGAGAGAGUAUAGAUACUUUGGGAGAGAUGUGGGGCAAGGGCAAGGCAAAGCAAAGUGGGUUUGCUCUCAAAGCAAGAAAGGAAUUGGUGAUGGAGUUUUGUUUUGUAUGGUUUCAGACUCUUUUUGAGUGCUUUUGCUUUUCCAUUUGAUAAAUUUUGAUAAACAAAUCUCAAUCACCAGCGCAGAAGCGCUUUUUCUGUGUAGGUUUCCUUUUGGCUUCUUUAUUUUUAAAAUCAGCGGGAGCUUGCUUCCUACUGGAACUUAACAACAGGGCGCGAACUGUGACAGCGCAAGCAAAGAAGAAAGAAGGUGGGCUCCCAUGAGCUGAGGGUGACACGUGGAAUAAUAUUUUUUUUGAACGCUGUACGGAGUGGAGGAAUUCUAGCACGUGGCUAUACCAAACAAGAAUUUCUCAACCUGAACAAGACCAUAAAAAUUAUAAACAUGGCUUUUUCACUUCACUUACUUCUGUUCAUGGAACGUUAUUUGACGGGUUGAUUAUUGAUUUAUAAAUGCUUUUUGGUUUCUCUUCUUCUAAGCAAUUCCUCCUCGGAAUAUGGGUUGAACCUUGGAACAGAUCCGUAGGAUGAGCUUUACCAUUCAAGAUCAAGAGUCCUCUACAAGAAUCGAACUUUGUAAUCUUUUUCAGAUGGGUUUCCCACCAAAAGUUGAUAUGCCAAACUAAAGCAACGUUAAAUCACAAAAGUUACUAUUUUCACAGCUACCCAUCAUAGAUUCUCAAGUUUCUUGUUCUUCAGUUAAUAACCUAAUAAUAUACCAGAUUUGCUAAUAAAUACAAAUCAUGCGAUUAAUUCGUUCUGCUUCCUUCACCAAUUCCCUGGCUGAAUUCAGGAUUUUUGAAACUGUGCAACUAAAAGAAUGAUAUGUACAUCAGUAAAUAGUUAAAAUAUUUAAUGAAUCAAAUCAUGAUCCAAAGUAAGGCAUGCACCCGGAAGAGAGAUAAUUAUCUGUUUGCAUUGCAACACCCUCUGUAUUUUUAUAUAAUUUUUUCUCCUGGUUUCUGUACCAAUAAUCUAUAAUAUUUUCGCCGUCAAAAAGACCCUAAACCCUAACAUCGUCAAAAACACCCAGUUGAGAGGCAUCUACAUGUAAAAGGGUGUAUACAGUAAGAAUCCAUGGGCAAAAGUGGAUCGGCUAGCAGCAUUUCUGGUGGUGAGGGUAGCAGCACUUCUGAAAUGUAACUAUGUACAUGAACCAAAUGCAAAAAGCGGCAGCAUCCACAUCCAUGCAUCAGCAGUACAUGCUUGUAUAGUUGAGAGGCAUCCACAUCCUCCAUCUUCAUUUGAAUUUCACUGCGAUGCAUAAGUAUCAAAUCAUAUGCAUACGUGAGUCUGCAUUUCCAACGUCUCUUCUCCCAAGACCAAAAGAAGUUUUAACUUCAUAAGUUUUUCUUAUAUGGGACUUGCUCGUGAUGCCUGCAAUACAAUUAAAAAGCCAUCUGAUGUCUCCUCUUGAAAUGAACAUAGUUUAUAGCAAAAAGAGAAAGUGAAAAAACACAAUUAUGGAAUUUGUCAUUUCAGAAGUAUGAAAUAGUGUAGCAAAGGACCUGAUUAUUUGAACUUGUUACUGUAGCCCAACGACGUGGACGCUGUGUGCCCACUGCAGCAUAGCUGACAAAAGUAAUUGUUCUUGAUUGUUCCCUUUGGUGAUUAGCGAUUGGGGGUGGCAAUUCUCUUACAAUCCAUAAUACAGAAGUUGAGGGCACCAAAGAUCCUGACAUAAAAUAUAAAGGGUGCAAGAAAACUCAUGAUAUUCAAUAUGUGACGAACAAAAUGCAGUAUCCUUCCCAUUCAUGAUGGGGAAAAUUGAAAACAAUGCUCAGAAGGGAAGAUAGAAUUACCCAUAAAAUAGUACAGAAUCAGAAAAACUAGCGCUUUUCCGCCAUAUGUUUUUUUCAGACUCCACUGACAAUAUAGCUGGCAAAGAGCUUAAAGUGAGGUAAGCAAGAAAAUAAAUAAGGAAAACUAAGAAAUGAAUUGCACAAAGAGUAGUAAAGUCUCUAGCCAAUGACCGCUUACAGGAAUAUUUGUAAGAAGAGCUACCAAUGCACUUGACGUAAAACAUAUAACAGAAGUAAUUGCCAAACCAGCAACCUGUUUACAAAAUUCCAAACUUACUAAAUACAAACAGAAGUGUGCCAGUUUAGGCAGAAAUUAUAACAUAACAUUUUAAGUAAAGAAGUAGGUAUGUUGCGUUCAAAGAAGAAAUUAGUAAGUGCACUUUGAAGAAUUUGAAUAAUAUUUUUAUCAAAUAGAAGAGAUCAUUUCUGUCAGUUUAAUAAUACCUUCCACAUUUCGGAUGAAGCUUUCUCAGACCGUACUUUCCUUAACUUACAAAAUAGCAGGAUGCCUGGAAUUUUAGAAAGAAAGAGUGAAGUUAAAUUGCAGACAGCACAUGAAAGAAUUCAGUUAAACUUUAUAAAGCCAAUAUCACUUUUCUGACAACAAAACCCAGUUAACCUUGCAACAUCCAAUAUACCAAAACAUAUGAAGAGUUUUUGGAACAAACAAGUCAAUCUUAAAAUCCUUAAACAUAAAACUUGGAUAACAGGUUGAGUCUUACCCCUAACACCAUUCCACCAUAAUGUCAGUAAGUGUUACCCUACAAAAAUGGUUACAGGGUAAUAGUAGCGAAACUAGAGGAAGAAGCUUAAGCCUAUGCACUACCAAACAAUGGAAAUGAUAAUUCGAUAGUAUAAGAUAUGCCAAAACCACUUACUGGUCUUGAACAGAACAACAUAAGAAUAAUAAAUAAACAAAAAACACAGACCUUUAGUAAUAAAAAUAAAUAAAGGGGGAAGAAAGUACAAUUAAAAUGGAUGAAGAGUAAUCAUAUCUAACUGAAGACCCUCAAGCUAAAGCACAUAUUACAAUCAAUACAACACUGCCCUAAAUCAAGAAGAACGACUCUAAAAACAUAAAAAUGUUUUACUACGAAGCCAACGAGAAUUUAAAACUUUAAUCAUCAUAUCCACAACAAAGAAACUAGAUUGACAAAACCCAAAUGAAACUGGUAAUAAGAAGAUAAAUGUGGCAUGACCUCCCAAAGUAAAUAAAUGCAUAAUAAGAAGUUGUCAGUGCUCUCACCAUAGCAACCUAAUGCUCCUCCUAAUAAAAGAACCGUGAAAGCAAGAAAGUCUUCAUAUGCCUGUAAGAUGGUUGCAGUUAUUGGGCGAUGAUAAUUGCCACAUUUAAACGAAUAGAUACAUAAAGACACAUCAUUAAGUGAACAAUAAGAAAAUAUGAUAUGAUGCAAACAAAAUGUUCCAAAAUUUAAAAAGGAAAACUAAUGAUUGGAAUUUCAGGAAGUUUAAGCAUACACAAAGUGCUGGUGUCUCACACAUGUACUAGAUGUCUAGAACAAUCAAGAUAAGACUAAUCUUCUAUAGAUAAAUAAGGGGAUGGAAAAACACUUAUCUCAACUAACGUUUAUCUACACAUGUUAGUAACAAAUCAAGUAGAUGAGACCAGCAAUUUCCUCAAAAAACACUGAUAUUGACCUAGACCUUAAUAACCAAUCAAUCUCCAUAAGGAAAUAAAAAUGCCAGCUGCAGUUCCAAAUUCUCCUGUAUGAAUUAUCAAAAUGCCAGAUAUGGACUGAACUGUGUUUUCUUCUAAUUCUUUAAAACCUAAUUUCCCGGUAGAUGUCAUGCCUGGUAUAAGUUACCAUGUUGCAAAAUUUUCCAAAAGACUGUUAAGACAAAAGUUCAUCUGAUGCUAAAAAGGAUAGAGUAGGAAAGAUUGUACUCCAUACCUGAGCCACUGCUGAAGAAUCAAUGGGAUUCUUACCCACACCGAUCCAGAUUACCACAGCAAAUGACAUCAUCAGAACAAGGACAAGCACAACAACCUAGUGGGAGAAACGGAUGAAAUUAGAUGACAAGAAGAACGAGUGAUAACAAUGUUUCAGUGAAAGUUACGCAACUUUUAUAUGACAAAUUAAGGGCAAUAACAAAACAAGUCUAUUUCUCAUACCGCAAUCACAAAUUUUUGGUGACUUCCAACAUGAAUGCUUUGGAAUGAACAACAAAUCCGAUGACCAUCUUUGUUUGAUGAAUUAGGUUUAUUCUUUGAAUUUUCUAACAAGGCCUGCUGCAUGCUAUCGUCCUCGUCAUCCUCCUCGUCAUCAUUUGCCUGAUGGCAAAGGUCGACCCUACAAAGUCAUUGUCCAUAACAGCAUUUGUAUACCUUAUAAUUAUAAAUUACACUGCAACUGUACAAAUUUCUAUUGUGCAGUCUUUAGAUAUUGUAAUUGAACAUAUAAAAAAGAAAUCAUGACGCUAUUUUCUAUCUAUUUUGCAACAUGCUUCAAAGUGAAAUUGGUAUUUGAGUAAUUGACUAACAGAAAGAAAAAAAACUUUUAUUUUCUUUUUGUGUAAUGUUAAAUACAAACAAUUAUAAGUAUUAAUGUCAAGGAAUUGUCACGAUCGCAAGUACAAAUAUACAAAACUGACAUUGGGUGUAGAUGAAAAAUGAAUUGUAUAAAAAAAAAAAACCUAGAAAUUUCAAAAGGAAAUCUAGCAAAUGCCAAGUAAACAUUAAUCAUGAAAUAAAGCUAAAAAGAAAAAAAUCAAAAGCAUUUGAGAAAGAUGGAAUUGCAUUAUCAGAAGAUGGGGAGGACAAAGUUCUUCAAAUAUCCUAUUGGACACAGCAAACAUAACCUUAACAAGAUGCUUUCAACAGUUCAAAGGGUGAAAAGACAUUGAUCUAGGUAAGAGAAGUUGCUGUCAUGCUUUUCAAUCAACCAGACCAUCUCUAAAAUUUCAACAUGAGAAAGCCUAAUCUAAAAUAAGAAAACUUACCAAAAGGAUAGGAGUAGAAGAAAAGCUGCGAGAAACAGAAUUUUGGGGUAGGCUGUAGCAAUAUUUUUCAUCAAUAAGAUCACCAGUGACUACAAAGAAACUCUAGAAACAAACAUUUGAAGCAGCUCGUCAAUCAGCAUAACUAUGUAAAAUAUACCCAUUAGGAUGAACCCGCAGACAUUAGACCAGCAAAACCACUUCUUACAAGCUGCAACCAACGUAGAUGUAAAAUAUAUGAAGUAACCUGCCAAAAGAAGAAAUUUGAUGCUAUAACUUGAUGAAGUACAUAAUAUGACCAAACAAUCUUUUUUGAGCUUUUAUAAUUGCUUAAGAGUGUCUGAGAAUUGGUAGAGUGGAAAGAGGAAAAGAUAGAAACUGUUUUGAUGAGUUGAAGUGUUCAAACAGAAAAUCAAUGUAAACCUGCAGAAGACUUAGAAAAUUUUAUCAAAGAAUAUGAUGAGAAUGAAAGACGUAAGUAGUCAAUGCUCAUGCACUAUUGUGUACAUCAAGUUAUACCAUAAAGGACGUGUUUCCUUUUUAUCAAUGUAAAUACACGGAAGAACUGAUCUGAUACAAUUGGAACCCUUGUACACGCACUCUCUCAAUACCCCAACUUUGCAUUCUGGCUGAUGAGCAGAUAUGAGUGAUUUAAAUUCACAUUAUGGUUAGUAAUGCUUAUUAUUGUACCCGUUCAGUCGCACGAUUAAACCAAUCAUUUACGCUAAGCCAACCUGAAAUUGUAUGUAGCAUAUGACCACACGGAAAACUGACGACAGUGACUUAAUUCAAAAGGCUUCCAUAGUAUGGCAUAAAAAGUCUUGUAGCCUUUGCAAUAGAGAAGUACUUUAAAAUUCCACUACCCAGUUUAACUCAAAUUUGAGUCAGAACCAUUAUUUGACUUUUAUAAAAGAAAAUUGAUGACAUGAACCACAAAUCCUCAGCCUUACCCAAGUUAGAAGAGCCAAUCAUGAGGUGGAGUACCUGCCAAUUAGUAAUCAUUUCAGUCAAACGGUCCCUAUAAAUAGUGAAUGUACAUACAACUGAAAUGAAUAUUAUAGAACUUUUAAGAAUUACAAACCAUUUUUCACAUUCAACAAAUGUAGACAGAGCCUAAGCAUAUUGCAAUACAAAUUGUAAGACUGAUGGAAUCAGCACAAAGUGGGGGGUGGGGGAGGAUUCCAUAGAAUUUGCACAUAAUAUAUGACGUGAAGUUGCAAAAACCAAUUUUCAAAACAGCAUCCUUGCAUAUAAGUGCUCAUAGCAUUCCUACCAAGUACAGUAGGAAGUACAAACAUCAGACAAGAACACGCUAGCUCUGCCUUCAAUUACUAAUAGAACAACUUAUGAUAUUUAAAAAAAAUAAGCUGUAGAAGUAAGAGAUGAUGCCCCUUACUUUUUGGCGUGUCCAUCCACUUUGUCGAUUGCGCAUGUGAAUCCUGACCAGCUGGAAAAACAAAAUGCUAGAUGAUUCCCAACUUAGGGAAAAGAGUAAUUAAACAAGAUAAGUACUUGUGAAAUAUUUAACCAACAAGAUAACAGUACAAACCAAAGAUACCAGUAUCUAUAGUGUAAUUACAGUAUCAAAAUUUAGGCCCUUAUACAUGCGUAAUUGGCUCUCAGAAACUAUUGGAGAAGUCGGAAUACUUGCAAAGAUAAGGGGAUAGUGAUAGUGGAAGUAAUAAGAGAUAAAUGGGGAGACAUGCAGGAUGUUUACUAGAGUUAUUUAUUUUACCCUUAUUUUAACUUAUAAUCUGAUAUAAGGGCAGCAAUGCACAAGCAUUUUCUAUCUCAAUGUAUGUGCCUAAAUUAUUAUUUCAAAGGAUCAAACUAAUUGUAGAAUUUCAAUUUUUCCUCCACUUUCUCAGCAACCAAACACAGCGUAAAACACAAAUACCCAUUCAAUCCAAAUCAAAAUUAAUGGAAUAAACAUGCAUUAUCCUUCUCACGUUUAACACAUCAGUCAAAGUUGAAAAUCCCUCAAAAUAGACCAACCCACAUAAUGAAAUUCUUAACAGAGCUGAAAAGCACAAACAAUACAGAUGACAGAGGAAAGGGUGUUCAAACAAACCUGAGAAAACGCAAUUACAGCAAGAACGCCAUUGAAGAAGGCCAAAGCUAUGUUGAAGACAAGCAAGUCCAAAGGAAAGCAAUCACUUUUUUCCACUAGGAGCUCCAAGAACAUCAUCUUCUUCUUCACCUUUCCAGAAAGCAGAGGAAAAGAGAGACCUUUUUAGCUAUUAACUCUCUCACUUUCUGUCUAUCUAAUCUUAGAAACAGAGAGCGAUUAGAAAAACCAGCUUUGUAAGUAUUUAUAUAUAUAGAAGGAUCUUUUAAGUGUACGGUGGGACGAGAACGACACAAAAAAUUUAGCUUUGCCCACCAAAAACAAAAUCAGCCUUGUGUUUCUGUUUCUGUUGCUGCUGUUGAUUUUUGGGACUCUUUCGUAGCUCAGUAAUUUUGUUUUAUUUUUUGCUCUGAAAUAAAAACCAUAAUUAUAAGAUUUAUGAGAAAUGUGGAAUUGCUAGAGAAUAUUAAACCUAUAAAGUUUUAAUAAGGUUUUAAAAUUUAAUGAAAAUAUUAAGUAUUUAAAAGUACUUUUUUAUUAAUAAAAAAAGUAUCUAAAAUAUCAGUAGACUAGUUACAAAUACUUUAGAAUAUUAAGGGAUAUUUAGUUUCAGUGUCUGCGUACGUGUAACUCGACCUUGUUGUGAUCUAAGUCCUAAUUAAUAAUUUAAAGAUAUUUAUGAUGCCUAAUUGGAAAAUUCGAAGUCUUUUCAACCAUAUUUGAGUUAAUGGGUAAUUUUUUUUUAAGCACCUAUCCUAUAAAAUGGGCAAUAACAUAUUAAAUGAAUGCUAAGACUCGAAAUUAUGACCUUUAAUGGACAAAUAAUUGUUCUAAACCACUACAUAAUAUAUCUUUGCAACGAGUAACAUUAUUUGUACCAUCUCAACAAUUUUUCGAAAGAGUUUAUAUUUCAAUAUUUUUUCCCUUUAAAGAUUUUUUUUCUUUAAUUCACAUUUUUCAAUACUAGAAAGAAAAUUAUCAGUAAAUUAAGAGCUAGUUAAUAUUCCUUAAAGAUUUAUCCAAAAGAUAAACAAAAAAAAAUCCCUCCUCUUAUGGCUCAUUGGCUCAUGCCCCAUUCCCAUGUCAUAAUAGGUGGUGUUUGACGACAAAUAAAUAUUUUUUUUAAAGUUAAAAUAAUAUAUAUAUAAAAAUUUGUUGUGUAAAUUUGGGUUUGAAUACAAUAAAAAAAAAAGGUGGAAUGUCUAUCUUCCCUUCCCCCAUCUGCCACGUCACACAAUCGGGUCAAAAACUUGCUAAAUAUCUAAGGAGGUGUGACAUUUUGUGGGACAAUUGGACGCGGCGUCCGUGUUAAAUAACCAGAUAAGAGCUCUGCACCGCCUAAGGGAUUCUGUUGUGACCCAUGGGAUUCUAUUGGGCCAAAGAGGCAAAUUCUACCCACAAGAAUUCUCAGAUGUGAUUUUGUUGGACCACAGAUAUAUAUUGUGUCCUGUUUUGUGUAUGUGACUGCUAUUGGUUCUAAAUUGCCCACACGCCAAGGUUUCUUAUCUCCCUCUUCUUCUUCUUGAUCAUUCACUGUGGAGUACCGGUAUAUGUCUAUGAAGUUGCGUGCUUUGUUGAUACGGAUCAGGUAUUGAAAUUAGAAGAUAUUGUUAUUUGUUAAAAGCGAUUUUAAACUAGAAUGACGUGGAAGAUUUCUUUCAAAACGUAGCAUUAAAAGAAUUAUGACGAUAUGAGAAGCGAGCGACAAUUAAGAGGGGUGAUUAAUUCAAGAUGAACAAUUUAUACUUAUAUAUCCUGAAAUAUAAAUGAACUAUAUAUAUUUCUAUUAGGCUAAUCAAAGUUCUUAGUAUGAUUUAGACACUUUAUCCCCAAUCUUAUCCUAAAAACUUGUUCAAGAUGUUGCCAAGCACUACAGAUUGUCUCCACAAUCAAUAUGAUAUGAUCGAAACAAGACAUAUUUGAUGUCCUUUUACAUAAAUGGUCAACCCAUGCAAUAAUCAUGGUGGCAUACAAGUUAUAGAAAAUUAUGUGUAAAAUCUCCGUCUUUUGUUAAAUGAUGAAUUUUGUGUGUUUGUGUGUUAAUAAUGUAUCGGCACGUUUUGUUUGUGAUAGAUUAUCGACAAUAAUAUCGACCCCUUACCGAUAAAAUCCAAUAAGAUCUAGUCAAUUUGAUUUGGUUAAUUGACAAACCAAGAAGGAACUGCAUAAAUUUGGCUUCUUGGAGAUACUUCUAGGUAAACAAUGUUGCCAUAUUAAUUCUAUAUACGUAUUCUAUUGAGAAUCUCAUGUAAUAAUGAAGAGGAAUGCUAGUGUGCUAGCUUCAUACAAAAAGAAAAAUCAGAUCUAAUAAAAUCAUAUUCACCCUUCCAAAUUCCAAUAAUGCCCUGCUGCCCAGAUAGAUGAAUUUCAUCAUCUUAAUUCUUCUUCUGGAGAAUCAGUAAGUAGCCAGUGCUUCUCAGAAAAGCAACCUUGAAAUAACGUCGUAAGCAAAAGGGGUAAAAGUCCUAGAGAAAAGAAAGAGAAAAACACUUGCAAUUGGAUGAUGAGAGAAACUGAGAAACAGGGUCUUCAAAUUAACUCUGUGUUUCAGCAGCUGAGUUUGCCUUAAAUGAAGCUUUAGUGGCUUUUAAAAAAAAAAUUAUAUGUAAAUGGAAUAAGAGCUUGCAACUUCUGAUUUUGCCAAAUUAACUUCAACUUCCGCAAGUUUUUAAAUCUGAAAAUUGCUUGGAAUUGAGAAGUAAAUUGUGUCUAUUUUCUUCAGAAAAUGAUGAUAUAUAUGAAAAUAAUAAGAAAAUUAACUUUGUGUAUACGAUUAAAAUAUUUUUUUUUCUUCAUAUAAUAGAGGUUGAAACUCAGUAAACUCAGAGUAAUAAAGUGAAAAUUUCCAAAAUAAUUAUUAUUAUUAUGUGAAAAAAAAACACAGACGCAUAAGUGGCCAACCCAAUCAUGAGGCUGUCUCCUCCAAGAUACUAUUCUUUUUAGACUAUCUGGACAUUGACCGUCCUACACAAAGUGCUCAUUGGAUGGACGUUGCUCCACACCCCCACGCUGGAAAUAAUCUAAAGCUUCCUCAGAGUUCUCUGUCACUCUAUAUUUAUAUUAAACAGUAUCUAUAAAAUCAAAGAUAUUGGAUGUAUCAUGCAUGUGUCUGUCUCUGAUUUUCAUCAUCUUUAAGUUAAGAAUCUAAAUCAAGCUCAAAAUCAUAUAUUAUAAGGAAAAUAUUAUUAUUUUUUUAAAAACCCCUAAGUUCUAAAGGGAAAGAUGUCAAUAAUUUCAAUUUGUUAAAUUCCAAAAAGUUUUGAGUAAAGUGUUUGUAUAUGCAUGCCUUGUGUUUCAAAGAUUUCCUUGUCACGCUUGCUUACUUUUAUGAAGAAGAACUCAUAUCUUCCGGUUUCAUACACAACUUGUAUAAAACCGGCAUGAGCUAAAAAGUUCAAAAUUAAAGAAGAAAAUGAAAGCAUUGUUUAACGUUGAAAAGCCAACAAGCCGUGCAUGUGUGCAUGAUGAACUGGACCCUGCGGUAGGAUCCAAUAAUAUUGGUUUGAACUGUUCCAACAAACUAGCCGUUAAAUAUAAGCUUGACCAACCGGACCACAUCUGCCUACACCAUACCAAACCGUUAUUAGAAGAUGAAUGAAACUGCCAAAUGUCGAAUUUGUCCUUUCCAGCGCAUUUUUUAUGUGCCGUUACAGAAAGAGAGAAAUGAUGAGAAGACUCCGUUAAGAAGAUGCCAAUCAAAAGCAGUGCAAACCAAGCAAGCAUAUAAUCCUGUAUGAUUAUGAAUGGCAACAGAUUGUGAUCCUUAUUUAUUACUAAGGAUCAAGCUUUUUGGAAAAGUGAUUCUUGAAUGAUAACUUAAAAAAUAAAUAGUUCGGUCAGAUUAUGAGAUUAUAUUGUGCAAUAAGUUCAAACAAAUAAUUAGUGACAUAUAAACUUACUAACCAGUUAGCGCUUGAGAAUACGUCAGCCUCCAUAGCCAAAUCUACAAUAUGACCUUUAGAAGCGAACCCAAUCGCCAUGAUAUAUAUUUGCAUUGCACGACGUCUUCGUUGGUGUUAAAAACUAGUCCAUAAACAGUGUAUCGGUUAACAUUUUCCUACUAGAAUUAUUAUAAUAAUGAUACUGUCUUGCUGUAAACUAGUCUUUUUAAAACUAGAAUAUUCGGCUACUAAGCUUUAGGGUGCUUUACCAAUUAUUAAGUUCCACAAAUACCCUCCCAUGAGACCUCAAAUUCCAUUGAUCGCUCUGGCCAGCAGGCCCAGCACCAGCUGCAACCACCAACACCUUCUUUUCUUUUUGAAGAAACCAAAGCUCUGCCUCUAACCCCCUCUCCAUUUCUAUAUAUACCACCAGCUCACACUUCUCCCUCUCAGCAUACCAAUUGCAUAAAAUACGACAACGUUUUAGAGAGAGAGAGGGAGGGAGAGAGAGAGAUUUGUGCAUAUUGUGAUGGAAAAUAAGUCGGAAAAGAACUCAAAGAAGGAGAAGGCCGUUUGGUCGUUAAAGAAGGUGAUUAGCAAAGAGCUGUGGCCAAGGAAAUUCUCAGUGUUCAAAUGGAAGCGUCUGGAUUUUCAGACGACCAUCGUAGACGACGUCGUCUUCAAGGUUCUCUCUGCUGUGGAGGUUGUCGUUCUGGUCUCCACGCUCUGCUUCUUCUACCUUUGCUGUGGUUGCCACAUCUGACUGACGUCAUCCAUUCAUUCUAAUUAGUAAUUAGUUUCUUAAUUUCAUCUUUUAAUUUGUAUAAUUGGGUAUUAAUUUGAUGGGUUUUUGCUUUUGUUGCCAAAAGUUGGGCAUAAAGAACGUGUAAACUAGUUAGUUUUAUUUUUGGUCCUCGAGAAUUCAUUUGUGUAGCGGUCCAUUUUCAUUUGGAAAAUAAGAUGAAGUGAUGAACUCUGUUAUGAUUCAUGGGGUGUGUGUGCAUUUAUUUUAUUUUUUCAAGCUUGCUCACUUUAUUUCAAUUUUUCCAGUUUCUACAAAGUUAUUCCAUUAUUAAAAAAAAAGGUUAAAAGAAAAUUAGAGUUGGGUGAUAUCAAUAUGAACUUUGAUUUAAAAAAAUUCUUUUUUUGCUCAAAGUAAUUACAUUAAACCUAGAUACCAAUUAGACUAUCAACCCCAAUUUGCAAAUUGGCAAAUUGGAAUGAAAUAUUGCAAAUAAUUGUGGGUGCAUUAGACAAUGUUUUUUUUUCAAUACCAAAAAAAAUUGCUUUAUAAAUGAAAAUGAGAGUGAUAAUGGGAGUGAGUAACAAAGUGAAAACAAUUGCACAUAGAUUUUAGUUUUCACAUUUGAUACUCCUUCCUCUUAUCAUUCCCUCUCAUCUUUCGACUCAAUCCCAUCUUCAUUCUCAUUCUCCCUCUUUUUCCUCUAUACUGAAAUUGAAGUAGUUAUCAAACGGGUCAUAAGUUAAGGGCUUGGGCUAAGCAUGUUUAAAGGAAAAAUAAAAAAGACUUGGGCUUGAGCUAGAUUUGGGCUAAGGAUAUUAACCCAACAGCCAACUGAAACAAUAAAAAAGAAAAAAGAAAAAAGAAAAAAUGGGAAAGCCAAGCCAACAGCCACACAGGCAAAUACGGUUGCAGCAAAGCAAAGGGGGCCGCGGGUAGUAAAAUAGCAAGAGUCUACUCAAGGAGAGAGACUCCAGAGAGUCGAAAAUGGCUUCUCCGUCUCCAAUCUCCUCAAGCGCUUCCCCACUGCAACGCCUUUCCACCUUCAAAACCUCCACCCCAACCUCCACCGCAACCCCAACCACCGCCACCGCAUCCCCCCUUGACACAUUGGCCUCCGACCCCAUCUUCUCCGUCUUCCUCUCCUCCUCCUUCUCCUCCACCGACUUCUCCUCCGCCGCCCUCACCUCCGGCUCCCCCGCCUCCACCGCUGAGAAGCUCCAGAACGCCAUCCGCCUCCUCGAGUCCCAGCUCCGCUCCGAGGUCCUCUCCCGCCACGACCACCUACUCUCCCAGCUCUCCUCCCUCCACCACGCAGACCACGCCCUCUCCACCGUCCGAUCCUCCGUCCUCUCCCUCCAGUCCUCCCUCCGCCGCACCCGAUCCGAGCUCUCCGACCCCCUUACCUCCAUCCGCACCCUCACCGUCCAGCUCCAGAACCUCCACACCUCCUCCGACCUUCUCCACCACUCCAUCAGAGCGCUUCGUCUCUCCAGUAAGCUCCGCUCUCUGGCGUCGGACGACCCCGAACGCCUGGAUCUCGCCAAGGCCGCUCAGCUACAUUGCGAGAUCUUGGCACUCUACAACGAAUAUGACCUCGCCGGCAUUGACGUAGUCGAUGCCGAGCUCGAAUGGGUCAGAGAGACCGGAGACAAGUUGCGCAAUGAGGCGAUGCGGGUUUUGGAGAGGGGGAUGGAGGGUUUGAACCAGGCCGAGGUGGGUACUGGGUUGCAGGUGUUUUACAAUUUGGGGGAGCUGAGACAGGCUAUGGAUCAGUUGAUUAACAAGUAUAAGGGUAUGGGGGUAAAGACUGUUAGUGUGGCAUUGGAUAUGAAGGCCAUUUCCGGGUCGGGGGGAGGCGGGUUUGGGCCGGGGGGGAUCAGAGGGGGCGGUGGGACGCCGCAGAUUGGGGGCGGGGCCAAGGCGAGGGAGGCGAUUUGGCAGAAGAUUGGGAGUUGUCUGGAUCAACUGCAUUCAAUCAUGGUAGCAGUGUGGCACUUGCAGAGAGUGUUGUCUAAGAAGCGUGACCCGUUUACUCAUGUGUUGCUGCUCGAUGAGGUUAUUCAGGUGAGAGGGUUUGUUCAAUUGGAUUUGCUUUUCAAUUGUUCUGAUUAUUUGAUGUCUAUGAAUGGUACAGAGCAUGAAUGUUACUUAUGUUCUCAGGUCUCUGCUACUAGCCUAAUUUCUCUAUUAGUUGAUGGAUAUAUGAAAACCAUUUUACUGUAUUUGUUGAAGUAUUAGUUGGUAACCUGGACUUGGUUCGAACGAAACCCUUUAACGGGCUGUUCCUAAGAAGAUGAUAUAUCUUAUGCUGACCGUGCUGAAGUCUGACCAGUCAUUAAAUGUCUUUUGUUCUAAGUUGGUUCUUCUUCCUUUUUGGAUAUCUCUAACAAUUCCUGUCAAUGUGCACCAUGUACCCGUGAUCUGCUGCAGUUUGUAUCUAUUUACUUUGAAUUUUGGUUUACACACAGAUCAUUAAUUUUUCUGUGUAUGAUGAAUGAUUUGCACUAUCUACCGAUUAGCCACCUAGAAAAUUUGCUUAAACUUUUUAAUCUUUCUAGUGGUUGACUUGCAGUCCCAUUCUGGCUUGCAUUACUUCGUUCCAACAAUUUUCCUGCUUGAUUGCUAAUAUUCUUGGUGACGAUUGUUUCUUCUCAUCUUGUCUAAAAUCAAUGACUUUUGCUCACUUUAUAUGUUGCUCAGGAAGGUGAGCCCAUAAUAACAGAUAGAGUGUGGGAGGCCCUUGUAAAGGCUUUUGCCAACCAAAUGAAGUCUGCUUUCACUGCAUCAAGUUUUGUUAAAGAGGUAUUCACUAUGGGGUAUCCAAAGCUUUUCUCAAUGAUAGAUAAUCUUCUUGAAAGAAUUGCACGUGACACAGACGUCAAAGGGGUUUUACCGGCUAUUACUUCAGAGGGAAAGGAACAACUGGUGUCAGCUGUUGAAAUAUUCCAGACAUCAUUCUUGGCACACUGCUUGGGUCGUCUGUCAGACCUUGUGAAUACUGUAUUUCCAGUGUCCAGCCGUGGAAGUGUGCCCUCUAAAGAACAUAUCGCAAGAAUCAUAACACGGAUUCAAGAAGAAAUAGAAGCUGUUCAGUUGGAUGGGCGAUUGACUCUUCUUGUAUUGCGUGAAAUUGGCAAGGUUCUUCUCCUGCUUGCUGAACGGGCUGAAUACCAGGUAAUCUUUAUCUUGCAUAAUCAAAUAUUACCAAUGCAGGCAAAUGAUCCUAGUCUUAUUUUGGCCAAUGUGUAAGACGUCCAAAGUUAGAUGUAAUGAACUUGUUGUAGUUGCUGCAUAACCACAACAUGUUAAGGUUCACAGUCUGUUUAUUUCAUGGUCCAAACUGUUUCACUUGCUCUUUUGGUAAUUGAAUGAGACUGAUUGAAAUUUGGAAUCACGUACUAUCUUAUGGAGGAUUAUUCAUGUGCCCACAGAGAAGAAUGUUGCUGCUGACUAUUUGGUUAAGUUAGGCCUUAACUCUGUUUUGGGUUUUCAUGAGCGCCUAGAGCCUCCUGAUGGGUUGUUGACUAAUCUCGGUGAUGAUUGGGCUGGUAUUUCCAGACCCAGGUUGAUUGUUGUAUAGUUUUUCUUUUCUGUUUUUGGGUUUUGGCCCCAUGUAACCCAAACAUUCUUUUCAAAGGGUAUACCCCCACCUGUACUUUAAUUGAGCUAUCAGACUGCAUGUGAAAGAUGUAUGUAUAUUAUAGAAACUUAUGCUGAGCCUUUUAUUUCGACAAGUGAUUUUUAGCCCAUGUUUGAAGUUUUCUCAUUUUGUAAAUACAUCCCAAUGGCAGAUAUCAACUGGUCCUGAAGCACGUCAAGUCAGUGGUCCUGCAACUCCAGCACAACUCAAGAACUUCAUUUUAUGUCAGCAUCUCCAAGAAAUUCAUACACGCGUAUCAUCUAUAAUUACAGGACUGCCCGCUAUUGCUGCAGAUGUAUUGUCUCCCUCAUUAGGUGCAAUAUAUGGGGUUGCCUGUGACUCAGUGACGACCUUAUUUCAAGCGAUGCUUGACCGUCUUGAGUCUUGCAUCUUGCAAAUUCAUGAGCAGAAAUUUGGUGUGCUAGGCAUGGAUGCUGCUAUGGACAACAAUGCGUCACCUUACAUGGAGGAGUUGCAGAAGUGCAUUCUUCACUUCCGGAGCGAGUUCCUGUCUAGGCUGUUGCCUUCAAAAACUGCAACUGCCGGAGCAGAGACCAUAUGCACUAGGCUUGUUAGGAGCAUGGCUGCACGGGUUUUAAUAUUCUUUAUCAGGCAUGCUUCUCUUGUCAGACCCCUUUCAGAAUCAGGGAAGCUAAGGAUGGCUAGGGACAUGGCUGAGCUUGAAUUAGCUGUAGGUCAAAAUUUGUUCCCAGUAGAGCAACUUGGUGCACCAUACAGAGCCCUUCGCGCAUUUCGACCUCUUAUUUUCUUGGAGACAUCCCAACUUGGAGGAUCUCCUCUCCUUCAAGAUCUACCACCAAGCGUCAUACUUCACCAUCUUUACUCCCGAGGUCCCGAUGAAUUGCAGUCUCCGCUGCAAAGGAACAAACUAACACCUCUGCAGUACUCUUUGUGGCUAGAUUCUCAAGGAGAGGAUCAGGUCUGGAAGGGUAUCAAAGCAACACUAGAUGACUACGCCACACAUGUGAGGGCUCGAGGAGACAAAGAGUUCAGCCCUGUCUAUCCACUAAUGAUUCGACUAGGAUCAUCUUUGACUGAAAAUGCUCCUGCAACCCAAAAGCCUUGAUGUCCAGUGUACCUCAUGUAAGGUACAAAGAUUUUUGCUUUUUCUUUUGACUUUUUCCCCUAGAGUUACACAUUUUAGCUGAACUUUUUGUCAUUCUUCAGGAUUUAGGUCUAUACUCAACAUUUUUGAUAGGUUAAUGUGGGGUUAGCAGCUGACCAACUCUGCAGGACAGCAGCAGCACUCCAGUUCAUUAUAAUUUGGUUUUGUAUCCAUUCUUUCUCCUUCUCACCCUUCUAUUUGUGGUGAUAUUGUUCUCUCUUUCAUGUAAAUUAAAUAGAUACACAUAGUAAAUUGUACCGUGACAUUUUGCUCUCACAUCGUAUGAACCUUUUGUUUCUUCAAUACAUUUUUACACAAUUUCUGGUGGCGAUUUCACAUACUGUUAAUCUACAUAUGUAUGUCAUCCUUUCUUUGCACUUACCCUUGGAACUCUGGUAUUUAGAGGAUCUCAAGUAAAUACAUGAGGAACAUAGCCUCUUUAUCAUUUAAAGGAGGCCUAAAGAUUGAAAGAUAAAAGGAUGAAAGUCGAACUUCUGUCAUGUAGACAUGAGUGCUCUAUCAUUGCGGUUAUAAGUUCCCAUAGUGAGGGAUGACUUUUGUCGAUCGUUACAUUCUUGACACCACUCAGUUGGACCUAAUACAAACGUUAGGUGGUUUGGCAAGGUCAGGUGAUGACUUCGCAUCCACGUUUUGGUGGUGAGACAUUUCACUAUGCCAAGAAAUGUAUUUUAGCUAAAAACUAUUCUUUAUUGGUUAGAUUAAUUAGAAUCAUUUACACAGCUUCAAAGAAAAGCAUUUAUUCAAACUUGGCGAAUUGCUUUUGAUCAGGGUUAAUGGUAUAAGAAAAUAUGAGACGUGGUUGGUUAGAAGAACAGAAAGCUGCUCAAGUCCAUCAGCAGCAGUCAAGAUGAGGAGAGGCUUCAAAACAAAUUAAUUAAUUAAUUAAUUAAACAUGAUUAGUUUGUUAACAACUUCACUUAUCUGCAGUGCCAAUGUGGCACACAGUGAUUUGCAACAGGCUGGCGCCAAAUAUGUAGACAGCCAGCGCCAAAAUUCAAGAUUUUUGAUAUGACAUGGGAUGGGGACAUGGAGGCUACACCAUUCACACCAUCCCUACAUUGAUGUGAUGAUGUCUUUCAAUUUCCAUUUCAACCUUAUAAAAUAAACAUAAAAUUCAGGUCAAAUCACAUUUUCUUUCUGUCCUCCUCGUAGCUUCGCUUGUUUUUCACUUUUGUCUCCAUAAUUUCAAUUUUGAUGAUUUGUGUUCAGUAAUAUUGUUUAGUUAGCAAUUAAGUCUUGCAAGUCUAAUAAUAUUAAGAAAAAUAGAUAAGAUACUCAUGUUUUAGAGUGUCGUAACAUGUGGUUGUUUCAUAUUGCCAUAUCAAUUUUCAUCUACAAAUAUGAUGAAAUUUAUGAUUUGUACUUGAUUGCAAACCAAACCAAACUAUAAAACUAAACUUGUCAAAAUCAAAAUAAUAAGAACCAAAAUGAAAAAUGAAUCAAACUACGGGGACUAAAAAAAUAUAAUUUGGCUAAAAUUUCGACUACAUCCCCUGUUUCUUCUGAAACACAAAUCACUAAUUUUUAUAUAUAAUUAUAUUGAAUAGUUAGCUGCGUGCCAUGAAUGCUCUUCUACCCCAUUGUGGCAUACAGUGUUAUAUAUUAUCUUAAAACCUAUCUUAAUACCAGAAAAUCAUUCUCUUGAAUUGACCAAUGUCUACAUCGUCCCAUGUAAAUACAAACCCUAGCAUUUUCUUUGAUGGGUCAUACUGUGAAAAUGAGAGAGAGAGAGAGAGAGAGAGAGAGAGAGAGAGAGAGAGAGUAUGUGUGAUUUUGGGUUGGUGUAUAAUGUAUAUGGAAGGAUUCCUAUUAUGAAGCUUUCAAUUUUGCAUUUUAAAAAUAGAAGAAAGAAGAAAAAGAAACAAUAUCAUUUUCAGCAUCUUUAUGUCUCUCUGUCCUUUUCUGUUUUCACCACCUUCAAAACUCAGCUCCUUCAAUAACCUUAAUAUUUAUAGCUCUUUGAAUCCUCCGCAUUAGCAUCAUAACAGCUGGGAGGUGAUUCCUAGGGCUGCAAAAUUGUAUCAAAACUAUGGGGAAGAAAGUAAGCCAAACAUCACUGAAAAUAUCUAAGAAAGAGAAGAAAGAGUUUAACAGUUUGAUAAGACUCUUGAGGCCUAAAGUCUACAUCACUGACAGCUCAAGCUUCAAGAGGCUUGUGCAAGACCUCACUGGCAAUGGAGCCUCAAAUCCAAACACUUCUUCCUCCUCACUGCACCCUCAGAAAAAACACAACUUGGUUGAUGAGGAGCAAAUCCCAGUUGUACAUAUUGUUGAUGAUCAGGAUCGGGAGGAUCAAGGAGACACUGAAGGCAGUUUGGAUGCGUCUACCGACACGUCCACGCUUGAUGAUUACUCCGAAUUGUGCAACCAAGUGUUUAUGAGUGAUCAAGAAUUCAACCAGUUAUGUUAUCAGAUAUAUUCAGAUGAUACAACAACAACAACAAAUUAUGAAAGUUCAACAACAGACCAGUUAUUGGUGGAUGACAUGUUACCUUUUCAAGAUCUUGAGUCAUGGCUUUUGGACACUGAUCAUCCUUAUGAUCCUUUUUUCAACAAUGGUUUUGCUCAAAUUGAUCAGCAAGUCAGCAUAUACGACUACGAGCUAUCGGGGCUACUAUCAUCGAAUUAAUUGUUUGUUGUGUUGUGUGACCAUCUGCUCUGUAAUAUUCUUCCUCUUGAUGCUCUAAGUAGUAAGUACAUAUGUUCUUAUAUAGCAAAAGAUGUGUGUAUUCAAUGUGUAUUCUUUGUAUAGAGAGCCCAUUUUCCGCUUUUACAAGUUACUCUUUAUAAUUUCUUCAAUCUAUACUUUGUAUCCAUCCAUGCUCUAGGGUCCUUCAGAUUACAUGUAUAUAUAUUAACUUACCUGAACUGGUGUAUCAUGAGAUUAAUUGUUUCAAUCAAUCAGCAUGCCCGAAAUUUUGCGUGCUCGACAUAUAGAUUGCUUACACAUUUUUUUUCACAAUGACAAAAGAAUUCUGCCAAGCAUGAUUAUUCUCAUUCUUAAGACAGUUGUUAAAUACUGUGAUCUUACAGCAGGGGGCCCUUUUGACUUUCAAAAAUUGUGAAGCAUCAUCAGCAAGUUCCAGAAUUUAGAUUGUGAUUGGAUCAAUAAAUGCACUGUGAGAUUGCUUAGAUUUUGUGGCCUAAGCAAGUUCAAGGGAAAAAGAUUUUAUAUAGAAACAAGCUGUUUUUAAAGACCAUUUUGUAAUGAUGAGAUUGGAGCAAAAGAGUUGAACAUAGGAACUGGAAGCUGGAAAUGUGAGAGAAAAACAAAUGGGAACCUGAAGCAGGAAUAUUUUCCAUAAACAGAUAUUAUAUGUUUCAAAACAUAGCAAUUCUAGAAGCUUGGGGAAAGAAAAAGAGAAAAUUUUAUCUAAUUGAUGCAGAGCUAAACAGGAAGACUUGUGAAUAUAAGAGAGUGUGCACUCAUUAUAACAUAUUGCAGACAAUAAUUAGAUAAUUAGAAAUAGAUAUAAUUGCUGUUUCUUAGUCCUAAAGAACAGGUGAAUCAACAAGCUCUGCUAGGUCAUCUCUGCUAUGCAUAAAUUUUUUCUCUUUAUUACAAGGAUCUAAACUGUCAAGCAAUUCUUAUUCAAAUGAUUAAUUAUAGAUUAUGGGAAGGAAAUUUUUUCCUGAAUCAACAAAUCCCGAAAGCGAAACUCCAUCUUUACAUUUCUGGGAUCCGGUAGGCGGAUGAUGACAUAUGAUAUAACUUUAUUACACAUAAAAGAAACGUAACAAUACAUAGAUAUUACAUAUUUGGCCUGCAUUAGCUAAUAAAGAAUUCCAAGGUUUCUACAUCAGAUGGAAACAAGAAUUCCAAGCACACAGGAAAGCAAUUUUUGCUUUUCAGCAUCGGAGAAACCACUCCCCAAUGAUUAAAAGAUAAAUUUCCAUCAAGUCCUAUGUUUCCUGAGUCUGUGUAGACAGCAACCUAAACAGCAAUAAAAGCUUCUAUAUGCAUUUGCAUUCCAUUUUAUACAGUAUGAAUGUACAUACAACUCCUAUCCACAUCAUUCUUACAAGUCUAAAACUAAUGCAGCUCAGUGAUCUUACAAUCCAAUUUGUGUGUAUGCGAUCUAACAAUCUAAAUUGUGUGUAUGCACUCAUUUACGAAGAUAACUCUUGAUUUCAUUUUGACCAAAACAUAUGUUGAUGCCACUCUAUCUAAAAGUUGCAAUAAGUGCAUCUUCAUCGAAGAAUUCCGCAGGCUGUCGAUAUAGUUUCAUUGCAGCAUUCGUUUGAACUAUCUAAUUUUUGGUCUACUUGGUUGAGCUAUCUUAUAAGGUUCAAUUGUAAAAUCCUGAAUUUAGAAUGUGAUUGGAUAUAGAAAAUGCAAUGAGGGAUUGCUAUAAUAUUUUGUUUGUGUAAGCAAGUUGAAGAAAACAGAUUCUAGCGUAGUUCAGGCAUAUCCUCUUUCAAGUCCUCCCAAUCUACCUCAAGCCUCACGAGACACAAACACAGACCUCCAAGUUUCCAGGAAGCAGUCUGGGAUUAAACCUGUUGGGCAUAGUUUUAUGAAGGUAAUUCCUAAGAUACAGCUCUUGGAGUGUUGGAGGAGGAUUCAGGUUGUCUAGCAUUUUGAAAACAUCGCUCUUUGUACAACCUUCAUCGUCAAUAGCUAAAACCUUGAGCCCUUUAAGCUGAAAUAGGACAUCAGGUGCAUUGUCUGAGAUUACUGUGGUAUUACUUAUACGUAUUUGUCGUUCUCUUAUGGUGGUCAGUUCCUUAAUCUUAAGAAGAGAGGCACAUAGCUUUCUAGGAUGACUCACAACGAAUCCAUAGAGUUCUUGAAGAUACGAAAGCCUUCUUAAUCCCCGAGGCAAGUACUUGAUGGGGCACUUGUCUAGGUCCAGGAUGAUCAGCAUCUUCAAAUUAGUGAUUGAUGGGUGUAGUUUCACUAGAUUGAAGCACCCAUUUGAAACCAACACUUGGGAGGUUGCGGAGUUUAUUAAUUGAAGAUGGCACUUCUAUUAUCUUACACGUAUAGACUCUCCCAUCAAGGCCUCGACACUGCACAAUUUCAACGAGGCAUCUGCUGAGUAGUUGUAGAGCUGUUUUUGAGUCCUUGCCCUGGACCAGGCCCUCUCCAAUCCACCAGGGGAUUAAAUUAUCAGCAUUUAUCUCAAAGUCUUGAGGAUAUAUGGAGAAACACAACAGGCAGUGCUUUAGAGAAGGCAGGAGUUCAUCAUAGCUCAAUCGCAGGGAAGCCAUAACUGAAUCAGUUUUUCCCCCAGUUGUAAAAGUAUGAAAAGCUUCCAGAAUGUACCACUCGGAAAUGGAGUUUCUCUUUGACGACAGUAAGGCCAUCUCCAGGUGCGUAGGGAUAUAUUUAGUUUCGAGCGACAUUUAAUCUUUAAUAAAUGAUUUUAUAAAAAAUAAUGUCAAGCUACAUUUUAAUUAUUAUAUUUUUAUCUCAUAUUUUUAUAUUAUAUGAUGUGAUAUCUCUAUAUUAUAUGUCACAUCAAUUAAAUCAAUAACUUGCAUUUUAGUAAAGAAAGUUAGAAAAGCAAAAAUUGAAAUAAAUAAAAAUAAAAAUAAAGCCCUAGCAACCAACCCCACAAAGCCACCAACCGCCACAGCCAUCACCACUGGCCAGUCUGGUCAUUCUCCUCCUCCUCCUUCUUCUCUCGCUCUCUCUCUCCCCAUUAUUUUCAAAUACUAAACGAACCCACAUCAUCCCUAAUCUAACAUUUUCCAUCAUACCCACAAAUAAAAACAAAUCCAACUUCAAAAUUAUAAAAAAUGGUAUCUAUUGACCCAAACAUGACCUCCUCCGAAGUGCUAGAGAGUGAGAGUGUUGGAGAGAGAGUGAAGGGAAGCAGAGAGAGAGAGAGUUGGUGGUGUGAGAUUGGGGGGUUGAUGUGAUAGAAGAAGGAGAAGAAGGAGGAGAAGAAGAAGAAGAAGAAGCAGCAGCAGCAACAGUCUAUGAUGACGGUCGCGGUUGGAGUCCACCGCAUCUCCUUAGGCUUGGGCCGGGUUUACAGGCUUUUAUAAUUUUUUAGGCUGGGCCGAGGUUUCAAAGGUUUUGGCCCAGGCCUACCCAUCGGGCCAGGCUUAGACGGGCCUCCAUGGGCCUAAACGGGCCGGACUUUUUUUAAUACAUAAAAAAAUUUAAGUUUUUAAAAAUAUUUUAAUUACACUUUAUUUUUUGGGGUCAAAAGUGAUGAAUAAAGAGUAAUCUCUUAAACUAGUGGCUGAGCAGGAUUGUGAGAAUGGGGUUUUCUUAAUGAUUUUUUUAAAAUUUUAUUAUUGUGAAAAAGGACAAAAAAUGUCAUCUAACUUAAUAUUUAACUCUAGUACAUCUACACACACCCCCACACCCCUCCACUACUCAUAUUAAGUUUAAAAAAAAUACAAACUUCUCUACACCUUAUUGCCAGAUUACUAUUCUCUUUCAAUUUAAGAAACCUACUACACUCUCAUCUUCUCUUCACAAACUCUAAAUACAACAUGCAAAUAGUAACUUGUGAGUCGUCAAUUGAGGUAUGCUACUUAGAGGGAUAAUUAAUGUUACAAUACCAUUAAGAUUAUAAGACCCUCAAAAGAAGAAAAGGGAAAUUAUAAAAAUGAAACAAGCAAUUUUUUUUUUCUUUAAGCUCCAUCCUUGCAGACUCGUAAAGUCUGCAAUUUGCAAAAACUAAAACUAAUGCUUCUAAGGUUGAGCUGAGAACCCAAAAAAUGGUAUCAAGAUCACAAUAGCUGAUCCUCCACUAUAACUACAGAAAAAGGAGAAUUUCAGAACCUUCUCAUUUUACAACACAUUUGAAAAUCUUCGAGACUCCGAAGCCACAUAGUUUAUAACGACAAUAACCAAACAAGCCUCAAUCUCGUGUCCAAUUAAAAACAAAUACUAAUAUACGAAAUUAAUAACACCCCAACAGAAGAAAGGCGCACCUUGAACAUUGAUCUUCUGAUAGAAAAAUCGCUUCCAACAGGAGCAGUAAGUGAACCCUACAAGCAAAAUCAUUAAAACCCAAUAACAAGAACACAAAAUUAAUCAAAUAUCUUCAUUAAAACCCUAAACCCAUAAUAAUAAAAUAAUGCUGCUACACAUUUAACAACAGUGUUUUUAUCUCUUUAAGUAAUGUUAAGUUGAGGUAAACUUAGUGUGGUGAGGGGCAAGAUAGCGGGGUGUGGGGUGUGAGGUUAAUGAGUUUUUUAAUUUUUUUUUUCUUAUGCUGAGUGUGUAUUUAGAGGUAGUUUGGGAAGAUAGUGAGAUUUUCUUAGAAAUUGUAAAAAUUUGAAUUAGAAGUUGGUGUGAACAAAGAGAAGUGCGGGGUUUAAAUAGAAAAACUCAAACUUAAGAGCUUAAUGAUUUAAGUAUUGGGGUAAACAAAGAAAAAUGUGGGGUUUAAAUAGAAAAACUCGUUCUUAAUUCUGUUUUUACUUUUCAAUAUGCAAAGGAAAAUGCUCAGGUUACCACAUUUUUAUACCACAUUGUAUAUCACUUCUCUAAUAUACAUGGGGCCCAUUGUAUUGGUGGACUCCAUCUCUAUUAGAGAGGUGGUACACAAUGUAGUAUAAAAAUGUGGUAAUCUUGGCAUUAAUGCUACUCUUACCACAUUUGUAUACCACCUUAUAUGACAGAUGAGGUGGACAGUCACAUCAAUUAAAAUUAAUUAACACUUUUUUUUUAAUGAUUUAUUAACACUUAAAAAAGAACUAUUAAUUAAACUUUCUUUAUUAAAAUACACUUCAUUUAUUUAAUUGAUGUGACAUAUGAUAUGGACAUGUCACAUCAUGUGGUAUGAAAAUAUGAUAAGUGUAGCAUAUGAAAUAAAUAAGAAAGAUGGACCCAACGAAGUAAGUUAAUUAAAAAAAAAAAAAUUUUGAGUGAUGUUAAACGAACCCUAAAAUUAACUGAGUAUACCCUAUAAUUUAAGUUAACCAUAAUAUUUUAAUUAAAAUAUAAAAUGAACUAAGUACACCCUAUUUAACUACCAAAAAUAGCCCUAGUAUAACACUCUAAUACCAAUCCUAAACCAAGUUUAUCUUUUUACAUGAAUCUGUGCUAUCUUUUCAGAUUUUGGGUUUCAUCAAAAUCUUUAAUUUCGUAAUACAAAUCCUAAACUAGUACUCAUUGCGUUAUUCGUGAGCACCAAGCAAUACGAAGACUUUUCUAUGUCUAAUAAGGGUUGAAUAUAGUGAGUGAGGUUUACUUAUUAAAAUUUUAUUUGUUUCACAAUUCAGUAUAUCUUUUUUGGUCAUUUUAUAUCAAGGUAAAUUAGUAAUUCAAUAAAUAGUUUGAUAGUAAAGUGUACUCAGUUAAUUUUAAGGUUCGUUUAGCAACACUCAAAAAUUUCCAUGUGCUAAUUGAAAGGCUCAAACUUCAAGCACUGUUAGUAAAAAUUUAAGGCUUCAAAUGUUCUCUGUUCCUCACUUUCAUUUUUCUUCAAUGCUUUAUUUUUUAUAAUCAAUCAGUUAUUGUGCAACCCAUUUGGACAUUUUAGAAGCUUUUUUAAAAAACUCUGAUAUUUUUCUGAAUUUUGCAGAGAAGAUAACAAGGUAGGAGAAGAAUGGUGAGAGAGAGGAACCUCGUACAUGGUGUGCAUUAAUGUUUUCAAAAAGUAAAUAUAGGCACAACAAGGAAUCUAGUGUCACAGGGUCCAGAAUAAAUUUUUUUUCUUAAAUAUAUAUUUGGGCUAACUGAAAAUUUUUGUUGGCCCUUAAAUUUUGGGGUCCUGUACUAUUGUGUCCUGCCUGCAUUGGGCCAGAGCCAACCUUGUUUUAGUUAUUAAACUUGGAGGCACGAUUGCAAACAAGAAAAAUCAAAGCAUCUUCAAAAAACAGAAUCAAGCAAGGUGAUCAUUUAAAAAAAAGAAAAGAAAAAGAAAAAGAAGAAGCUUAAUUCGUCAUAGAAUCAAGCAAAGUGACAUGAGUUUCUUACAAAAUAAAGUCCCGCGGUUGCAAAUCAUUGCAGCUUGGGACGACUAAAGAAUAGAGAUAGUUAUAGUUAUUUCUUACUUUUUCCACUUUACACUUGUUAAUUAUAAAGAUAAAGUGCAUUUGUUUAAAACAAACAUAUAAUGCAUACUUGGCAUAAGUGGGUUAGACUAAUUGGAAAAGGUAGUGAGUUCACUUCCUUGUACCUAAGUUCAAAUCAUCUUCUUCAUAGAUUAGAUUGAUUUAAUGUAGAUUAUCUUUUGUAUAAAAAACAAACAACAAAAAGAAAUAUUUUUGAGCAACCUUCUGAUUUAAGUCAUUCACCCAUACUUUCAUUUUCUUCUUCAAUAUUCCUUAGAUUUAGUGAGUUAUGAAAUCAAAUCCAAUACUAGUCACCAAACAUGGCCGUAAAGCAUGUUCAAGAGUGUAUUAACACAAGGAUCAAGCUUUUCCAUGAAGUCAAUACUCAAUCUACUGAUAAUUAAUCAUUUGAAGGUAAUAUUUUCCAUAUCACCUUGGCAUAACUUGAGUCUUCAACCUUAUAAUAAAAAGCAUAAAGCAGUUAAGCAUCCCUUCAUUUUGUUUAAUCAAUUAUCAGAUUUUGAAAAAGCAUCCAUGUUCACAGUCCCCAACACAAACUAAAUAAAUCAAUAAAGGACAAGCCCCCAGAGCAUACUUGGAUUGGAGGUUUCAAAUGUCGCUGACAAUUAGAUUCGUCUCCAAUCACGACACGCCACGUGAAAACGAAGAUUAUUUUUUAAAUUAAUUAAUUGAACUAGUUUAUCUGGUCAAUUAACUAAUAGGGAUAAAUAUCUUAAUUAAUAGGAUAUUAUCUUUAUUUAAUAAGAUAAUAUCAUUAAUUCAGAUAUUAUCUUAAUAAAGAGAAGAUAAUAUCGUUAAUUCAGAUAUUAUCCUAAUAAAGAGAGAUAAUAUCAUUAAUUCAAAUAUUAUCUUCAAUGAAGAGAUAUAAUCAAGCCCGACUCGAUCCCUACGAAUUUGGGUAGAGAAUAAACUUAUCAUAUUCUCUACGAAACCCUAGCCCCGAGGCUCCUAUAGAUGGACGAUCUCAUUCAUCAUUCAAGGUACAUCUAAACCUACUCCUAAUACCCGAGAAAAAUACCCGAAGCUCUCUCUCCACUCUUCACUCUCCAUAUUUUCUCCACACGGCUCCGGCCGCCCGGUUAACACCAUACAUACAACUCCGUACGCUUUGCUUAGCUAUUGUUUUCCUACAAAUACUCGAACUAACUUAGGUAUCGUAGGGCCUUUGGCCAACACCCCUCGGGUGUGGUCUAUUUACUCAAUUUCUUUUUUUAUAAGAACCGAGGAAGAGAGAAAAGGAAGAUUGAAGGUUGAAGGAUCUAGAAGCAAAUAUUCUCUCGUGAGAUUAUUUGGACAAACAACCAUAUUAAUAAAAAAAAGCUUCAAAUUGUAAUAGAAUCAAGCAAAGUGACACAUUACAAAAUAAGUCACAACAUUGCACUUUGAGAUGACCGAAGAAUAUAAUAAAUAAAGCUUGAGAAGGACCCCAUGCGGGGUAUGAAUUGUCAAAUAAUUAUAAAAUAAUGUGAUAAUAUGAUCACGUGAUAUGUCUUGUACAUGUGUAAUAAUAUGAAUGGACAACAUAGUUUAUUUUGUACUAGCCCCAUGGCACAUGCGUGACCAAUUGGUUUUCUUUUUCCUUUUUAUUUUAUUUUUAGAAUUAAGAAAAUAUAAUAUGUGUAGUUGUUUUCUAUAAAAAUAGGAUCAAUUAUUUGAUUUUUCUUUUUCUUUUUUUUAAAAAUUAUUUUUAAUAUGAAAAAGUGUGAAUUUAUCAUAUUAUCCUUAUUUAAUUAAUAUUUUUAAUUUUUAAUAUUUGCAUUAACCAAUGACAUUUUUUGAUAUUUUAAAUGGUUCACCAUUCUCUGCCUUUUACUUUAUAUAUAUAAAUAUAUAUUAUAAUAUAAGUGAACAACAUGAUUGUACUACCGUACUAUUUUAUAAUUAUUUCUACUUUUGUAUACAUGACGAGAAUGAAAAGCAUAUAUAAAAUGAUAAGCACCACUUUAACUUGAUGAGAUAUAUCUAAGAGAGAAUAUUUUGAAAAUGGGUCAUACUAAAAAAGACCACAUAUAUAAAUCAUCUUAUGUAUUAUCUUAAUACAAUGUCUCCCUAACAUUUUCCAUGAGGCACGAUUGCAAACAAGAAAAAUGAAUGAAAGCAUGUUCAACUUUCAAGAAUAGAUAGUGUCUACAGAACAUAAAAUAUAGCACAAGCCUCAAGAUUUUCCAUGAAGUCAGUACUGUAUCUACUGCAAUCAUGUUGCUCAUCGCUUGGCUAAAGUUUCUCUCUAUUGAUGGUUUGGUUGACUGGAAUGAGUGGCCCCAUGCUAUCAUCAGGAUGCCCUCUUAAAUGAUUGUAAUUUGCUCUAGUUUCUUUAAUGAAUUUCGUUCUUUAAAAAACAAAUAAAAAAUAAAAAAUACCUUCACUUUAUGAAAAAAGACCAUGACAAUUCGGUAACACAACACAAAACCAACUAUUAUUCAAUACAAGACAAGUCCCCAGAGCACACGAGAAUCGGAGGUUUUCAACUUGAAAUCUCUGGAAAUGACAACUCGAUGGGAUGCUAUAUUAAGGAGAAUCUAGCAACUUUCUCUCGAAAAAGAAUAGUGAUUAGAAAAUUAUUAUUUUUAAUAACUACAUCACAUUACCACGACACUAAUUGUCGUUAGAGAAUUAAUUCUUCACUAUUAAACAAGAACCGAACAAACGAAUACAAUUAACGUAUUUGAAGCCAGCUGAAUGUGUGUUUCUUGGUCCCCGGCAAGGCACAGUUGGAUUGCUUUUAUUGUGAUGCCAAGUCAUUGCACCUGCUACAUUUAUCAGCAGCUGUAUAAAGAGGGGGAUUAGAUUUGAGGUUGUAAAACUUUUGUUUGCUUAAAUUUCACAAUAAAAAUAAAAUCCGCAUAUAAAUUUAAUUAUUUAAGAAAAGGAGAGGGGUUGGAAAACUCCUCUGUUCUUGCAUAUUGCAGAGGGAUUGAUGUAUGCAUACAAUAACAAUAGGGCAAGCAGUUAAUUAUAACAAGCUGCAGACAUGAACUAGAUACAGAGGACUAACUUUAUCGUGGCGUUAACUUACUUGCUUAAUUUCUGACCUUGAGAUUUGCUCCAAAAUAUGUUUUUCUCAUAUUUGUCCUUUUCAAUCUCAUGGCAUUUGACUUUCUCCAAGUACAACAGAUGAGGAAACUGAACCUCCACCUCUUUAAGUUCUAUUUUCAUAUUACUCAAGUACUUGAGACGCAAGAUUUCCACCCUCCACUUACACUCGGUGACAGUCUCCUCCCCUGCAUGGUCUAAGCUACAAAGUUCCCCUCCUCUUAUGUAGAGCUUCUUUAUAUUUGUCAGUUGCCUUGGAUUCAGCCAUGGAGGUACUUCUUUUAGAGGGAUGCCUUGCAGAUCCAAUUUUUCUAAAUCCGGUGGGAAUGAGAAAUCCAGGGACUGGCGGGCAAUUUUUCCUCUUAACUCUGGAGAAACCACUGCCCAUGAUAUUUUGAGGCGGCGAAGAG
rnacentral:lncRNA from 1 species